rnacentral:lncRNA from 1 species
CCUCUUAGCUGCAUCGUUUCUAUUGGGGAAUAUGAAUGCAGAUAAUGUAAAUUAUGGUCUUCAGGUGUGUAAGAUCACUUUCUUUAAGGUGAUAUUUGCCUCCAUUCAAAUGUAUCUGCCGGAUUACCAGCAAAUCAUCUUCAAGAUACAACAAGACUGCCGAAUGACUGUAAAUAGCACUUUUGAAUAUUUUCCCUCAAGAAUUUCUUUCUUAAAAAUCAGUAUGAAAAAUUAGGAAGGAGAAAGAAUUGAUAAUAUUACCCUUGAAUCCUUCAGACAUCUUCUAUUUAUAGAAGAUGAAUGGUUACUAUGAAAGGACACAACUUUUACGGCGCGUUUGGUUCGCACUAUGAAGAUUACUAGGAAUAAACAGAUGUCCGAGAAUCUUAUUCAUAUUCAUCCUAUUACUAAGAAUGUGUCAUUCUUGUGUUUGGUUCGCACGGUUAUAUUAUUUAGUCAUGUUAUUUAAGAUUACAAAAAAAAUAUACAGUUAAAUUUUUUUUUUAAUUAAUUUUAGAUAAUGCUACCAAAAAUUUUAACAUUUUUUUAGAAAAAAAGAGAGAACAUAGGUUAGAGAGAGAGAGAGCAUAAUUAAAUAAAUAGGAAGAGAAAUAGAGUCGAGGUUAGAGGGAGUGAGAGAGUUGAGAUUUUAGAAAAAGAGAGGGAGAGAGAGUUUAGUUUAGAGAGAAAAAAAGAGUUGAAGUUUAGAGAGAAAAGGAUAAGUUUAGAGAGAGAUAUGAGGUUAGAGUGUAAAGGAAAUAAUACCAACUAGUUGGCGGGUAAGAAGAAAGAAAGAGAUUAGACAUAUUAUAUGGAGAAAGAAAGAGAUUAGACAUAUUAUAUGAUAACUCCAAUCCAUUAAUAUGAGGAUACCCACCAUCCCUUGAAGGAAUGAGAUUAGUACUUUGGGAUGAAUCUCAUUCCCAAGUAAAUACAAUAUUACCAACUAGAUUACUUAGUAUGCUUAGCCAAACACCGUCAUAUUUUUUUAUUCCUAUUGGAUUACUAGGAAUCUUAUGAAAGUUUUGAGGAGCCCAAAGGGAAUGUUGAUGUUCAGUCCAGAAGCUUCCCUCGGGUGACCAAGCAGAAACAGUAGAAGCAAACGAUCCCAACGAAUUCUCUUUGUUCCAAUCGUUGGUUGCACAUUGUAGCUCAAGACCAAGGAUAAUAGAUGGUACUCGGGUCGCAGAUCCUUAGACUCUACAUAAGCUCGAUUCGUUUGCACUCCAGCUCUGCAGAUAGCUGCUACAAUGGUAUCCCAGUGAGAUGAUGACUGAAAUCCUCCCGAUGUAUAGAGAAGACCCGUAGUGUCCACAGUCAUCCCCAAGAGCUCUCCAAUAGUGUAUGGGGUAACGAUGACCCUCUGCUGUCGGACUACUAUCUCAAAAAGAUAAGUCCCGGUCUCCUCGUCUUCUGCAAGUACCUGCCCGUUCAUAUAGAACUCGCGAAUGAGUUCCACACAGAAAGGAGCCCGAGCAGGAACCCUUCCAACUGGCUCAAUAGGAACCCGCUGAAGUAGUCGUCCAAAGUCAGGAACGUCAUGUAUAAGAUCAGUGAAGUUGACAAAACGCUCAGCAAUACACGACUUGUUCAUAAACAUCCUCCGCCGCUCUGGGGGAAUAUCCGCGGCAUGCUUCGAUUGAGUUUCUCUAGCACGAGAACCACCGCCACGUGAGGAUUCACCAGCUAUUCCUUUGCCCUUGUCAAGAUGAGCAAUAGGUUCCUCAGCCUCUUCAGGGGAGCUAGCCUCAUAAUCUGGAUCAGAUCCGGAUGCCUCUUCCGUUGUACGUGACCGCUUAGAAGCCCCUCGACGACCUCUGCCACCACCUCGGCUCCGUCUUGCAGCCAUUAGCACCAAAUCAACAACACAAGCGAAAAUGCCAUUGUUCCUAUACAAAAAUUAACCGUGCAUGAACAAAAUUUUGAAAAAAUCUGUAAAAAUAACGAAAAAAUUUCUAAUAACAUUAGAAUGCAUACAAAUGCUAUUUCUAACCAGAUCAUGCAAAAAAUUUCCAUCAAAAAUGAUAUUUUACAAAAAAUCCCGAAAUUACAUGAAAAAUGAAGCUUAGAAUAUAGAUCAGUGAAAAAUAAUGUGUUUUGAUGUGAUUCAAGUGUUCUAGGAGCAAGAUAAUGUCCUUAAGCACUGAUCUACAGCAAAAAAUUGCAUAAAAAACGAUCAAAAACAGAGAUCUAUGCAUGAACUCGAAAUAUUUCGAAAAAUAAACAUGAACGCGAUGAAACGAUUAAAUCCAAGCUAAAUACUCACAAAUUUCAGAGGGAAAUCGUGUAGAUAUGCAAGAGGAAGGCACCAGAGAUUUUUAGAGAGAGAAAGAACGAAUUUUGGUUUUGAUUUGAGAGAGAAAUAAACCCUAUAUCUGGUUAUAUAAGUCGCGGCUACAGUACGCGUACCGGUACGGGAUCGUGUACCGGUACACGAUCUCAAAUUUCGAAAAUUUGAUUUGAAAAUCCAUCACAUUUAAAUUAAUUUCAUAUAAAUUAAGGCUUUUACUCCAAAAAUCAUUAUAAUGAAAAUAAUAUAUUAUACAAUUUAAAAAACACAUCGAAACAUCAAAAUUUCAAUAUAAAAAAUAAUUUAAUGAUUCAAAAUCAUCAAGAUGUAAGUUGAUGAAAAAUGAUUUUUAGAAAUUCAACAAAAUUGACACCAAUUUAUCGCAAUAUGUUCAAAAUAGAGAUUAACUAAUAUGGCACCGGGGGUGGCUCUUUGAGCAUCUUUUCAACUUACCACGUUAUAACUCCGAAAAUUCUAAAAUAUUCAAAUUUUUUCAACCUUUUUCGAUUACUCAAUUUAAUCUUCAUGUGGUAGCUUCACACACUUGCCGGACGACCGGGGUGGUAGCUCUUUCUUACAUGUGGUGGUAGUUUUCACACUCCUUUUGGAUGUAACUCUUUCCACAUCUUUUAAACAUAGGAGUUUUCUCCUUUUUUUUAAAAUCAAACUCCCCCUUAAUUAGACAAUCUCACAAUUGAAAAUAAUUUUGACAAAAUUUAGUCAAUUAGUGAAUAUCCAUCGAUCAUAUUCAACACUUACAACCGAGAUAGAUAAAUCACCAAGAGAUCAAAUUUGAUUUCAAAAUUUUGAUGAAUACAUGCAUUAAGAAAUCAUAUAUUAAAUUAUCGUCAAAAUAAUAAAAAGUGGAGUAAAAACGAUAAUUAAUAUGAAUUUAACUUAAUCAGACCAAUUGAAAAUUUAAAUACGUUUUAAAAAAAAAUAUCUCUCAAAAAUAAUGAUCUCAUCAAUCUCCUUUCUCAAGAUUUAAAUCCCUAAACACCCUUCCUCAAAAAGAUUUAUAACCAAUUAAAAUUCAGCAACCAAAAUCAUUAAACAUGUAAUGCAUGUAUAAAUAUUAUGCAACAAGCACCUAAUCAAAGCAUUACACUUAAGAUCAACGAAAUACUAAGACGAGAGCAAGGAAAGAUAUCACUCUUCGCGGAUCCAACUGUCGGAUCUUUGGUUUUCUCGCUUGUCGACGUUGGUGCCGGUUUGUUAGAUUUGAUCAAUCCGUUGGUGGUUCUUCUUCGUUCGAGGCUUCGGUUCGAAAUUUGUCGUUGAGGCUUAUGUCCUGUUUUGCAUGAACUUGGCGUUGUUCCAUUAGAAAUCCCGUUCUUUUGAGCGUACUCGACUAACUUGAUUUUUCUUUUGAUUCCGCGCGGAAAAGUCGAGUUUAGAUGAUCGCGUUUGAAAGGUUUUAGAAUAUUGCGAUUGAUUCAUUCUUUCCUUAUUUGGCUGAAUUUCCUUAAUAGUGUAACUUCUUGCCGAACAUUUAUGACACAUCUUGUCUAUUCGAAGUUGUUUAGACUUUAGAAGUUUGAUUUUGAAUUCUUCUCAACGUAUUUCCGUUCAUAUCCGAUCGCGAGCUUGUUGUUUGACCCAACCGAGCAUGGUAUCUAGUUUCUUUGAUCGCGAAGGAAAAUCGUUGAAAUGUCGAACUGUGAAGUUGACGAACGUUCGAUUGUCAAAAACUUAUUGCAUGUGUGCGAUCCUCGAAUUGUUUCUCCAAAAAUCCAACCUUAUCUUUAUAAUAUUGAUCGUGAAUUCCGCUUCAUUAGCUUCUCUUGGAGGUCGCGAAUUAAUCUUCAGUCUUGAAAUCCCUUUCCUCCUCAGAACCUUAAUUCUAAUUACUUUACAUUGUUGUUUUCCUCUUCAAUGUUCCAACCAACGACUGGUCCUCCCAAUUCUUCUGUUGAGUUUUUUAGCGCCCAUCUUCUUUGAUCAAUGGAAGUUGAUUGUACCGCUCCGCUACUAACGUCGUCGUUUGAGUCCUCCUCACUUCACACAUUGUUGCUGAAAAGAAUCAAUGUGAAGAAAGAAAUAAUUGAAUUUAGUAGCAAAGAGAUAAAGCACACAACAUUACGAGCGAGGUAUAGAAUGCUUAGUAAAAUAGAGGCAAUCUUGAUCAUUCUUUUCUUGCACUUGACGAUUGAUUCACUUGAUGUUGACUCAUCCCAUCGUCUUUGCUAUAUGCAAUAGCCUUUUGUCUAUACUUCUUUUUUGAAGGAACAAUCCUCGCAAUGUUGUCGUCAGCCUUUGCACUUGAAGCAUUGAUCUCAGCCUUCAAAUAACACACCUUUUCCUUAGGACUUUGAACGGUUUUAUCCUUAACUUUGAAGAAUGAAGAUAUUAUAGACAAGAAGAUUGUCGGCUUAGAUGAUGAAGCCUUGUCCAAUUAUUCUUGUUUCGGAAAUUUCGACGAACCUUCUUCGUAAGCAAGCGCCCAGAUUGUUUGUUCAAAGUCCCAAUUGAUAAAUAUCAAUGUCGGAACGCGAUCGUCUUCGUCCUUGCUCCUUUUAGUUUCAAUGCAAUCACCUGUGCUUUAGAAAGAAGACUUGGAAGAAGAUUGAUUAGUAGAAAAGGUCAUUUCGUAAGUUUGUAAGCAGCACCUACUAAUUACCGUCGACUUCUCAUCUCGUCCGAAUGUUGACGCGUUUCGAUCUGCGCUACUUUAGCCCGAAAACGUUCCGGAAGAGUUCGAAGAAUUUGCGAACAACUUUAGAAUCCGGGAUUUUCUCUCACCAAAUUAGCACAUAGUAUUAAUGAUAUCUUGAAGCCUAGUGUAGUAAUCGUAAAAGAUUAUGCUCUUCCAUACGAAUAGAAUCAAAUAUGACUAAGUCAACAUUUGAGCUUUUGAAAUUUUACUAAACGAGUACUCUCAUUGUAAUUUGUAGAGUAUCCCAACUUCUUGGCCUUUCGGCCGAUUUCCGAAACCCGAGUAAACUCCGUUUGGAUAGAAGCAGUGAAAUAAAUCAUUAAUUCCUUUACGCGGUAAACGAAGAUGACUCAGUUUUCAAUCUUUUGUCCACUUGUUCUCGUGUAUUUAUGGACGUAGCGUUAUUGACAACUUCGGUAGGGUGCUCCCAACCAAAUUUAAUAACUUCCACACACUGCUCAUCGAUUGCAAUUAGAAAAGCCUCAUGCAAACUUCCAAUAGGCAUAAUUCGGUGCCAUCGAAGAGUGGAGGACGAUUAACGUUACCGCCUCGCCAUUAGACAAAGCAAUAUAUUAAAAUCCUGUUCUGAUACCAAUUGAAAGUUUUGAGGAGCCUCAAGGUCUAUCUAGCAUUGUAUCUAGACACCUAGAGGGGGGUUGAAUAGGUUAAUAGCCAAAAAACCACAAAUCUCGGAUGCAAUAAAAAUAAAUGCCGAAAAAUAAAAAGCACACCGAAGAUUUACUGGGAAAAACUCCCAACUUGGAGAAAAACCCACGGGACCAACAGCGAAAUAAACAAUCCACUAAGAGAAAAGAUUAUCAAGGUGAACCGACUCCACGGACGACUCACUCUCCUUAACCUCCUAUGAAAUCAUCUGGCAAUCCACCCGGAGUUGUCCACCCCCACGUUCGAACCAACGAACGCCUCCACUUCGAAUCCACGAAGCUUCAAUCACGCCGAAUCCACGACGCCACUCGAAUCCACGAGCCCACGAUCCGAAUCCACGAACCGCCUUCGUUCACGCCGAAUCCACGACGCCGUUCAUGAAGAGCAUCAUGAUUAUGGUGAUCCUUCGCUUAGAGUAUCGAUGAAAACGAGGGAAAGAAACUCCAAGCGAAGCGGAGAUCAAAUCGACAUAUUAAUAUCAAAUUUCAAUAUCUCGAUUUGAUCUAAAAGAGGCUUUUUGUAGAAAAUAGGUUUUAGAUGAAAUCCGAGCCUCUAGGGUUUCUCAAACAUGUAUUCUUAUUAUUCUACCUUUGUUAGAGAACCCCAAUAGCUUAUUUAUAGACUUUAAAAUCAAACGGAGUCGGAUUAUAAAGUUUUCACGAUUUUACACUGUGUACCGGUACACGAAAAGCUGUCACCGGUACAUAAUGACGGAACGAAAGUACAUUGCCAAUGUUGAUGGCUGUACCGGUACGUGGCGCUUGCUGUACCGGUACACAAUGCAUUUUUUCAGAUUUUGCAUUGUUUCGGGUUUUCAACGUUCCGAGGCACUUUCUAAUCCAUUAAACUUUGAGUUUAUGAUUCUAAUGCCUAUAACUAAGUAUGAAUCACCAUAACAUGAUUUUAAAACAUUACCUGAGCGUCGUGAUUCACAUUAUGAGGUAUUUCCUGAUUUCUUCGAAGUCUUGGAUUCUUCGAUCUUUGUCAAUCCGCUUCGAUCCUUCAAGACUCCGACUUACUUCACGAAACUUGCCAAUACAAAAUCCCUAACAUCUUAAAGACACACCUUUGGAAGGAGAAUUGCCUCGUCUACCUUGAGAACCUAAAGAUUAAGAGGAAAGACACACCUUCGGAAGAUUUGUCAAAUCUGCUCGUAAUAGAAACUAACCUUACAGUUUCCUUUACUUUCAGUUCGGUUAUAGACUUUGAUUCUAGUUCUUAUUUAUAUACUUCAAUGCAGAGUCUAAUAAAAAGUAGAGGGCUUAGGGAAGGGAAAUUGACCCUACAAGUAAGCAACAGGGCAAGAGUUGCUGCUGUGGCUACUGGUACCUAUCCUUUGCGACACUUUCAGGACAUGUUUUAUGAAAGAUUGUUAUUAUAUACCUGCUGCUAGUAGAAAUUUGAUCAUGUUUCUUUUUAGCAUGACGGUUAUAUUUUGAUAAAAACUAUUGUAUAAUUUAUUUUAAUAUUGGUUGUUGGGUCAAUUUCUGAGUAGGUAGUGAGUGCUGUUGGGUCUAAAAGACUGUGAGGAAGUGAAUUCUCGAAAUACGAGAGUUAGACUUUAUGCAAGAUCGACCAAGGGUCGUGUUGGUGUGCUUUGGAAAAGCCAAAGAUGUCAAAAUCACCAAAAGUGCAUUGGAAACGAGUCUACGAGAGCAAAUAGUGCAAAAUCUGCACUUGAGCAAAAUUACUCUCGGGAACCGGUCCCUAGCAGGGAGAGACCGGUCCCAUCGGCUGGGGUUGCGGGGAUCUUUGAUGCAACCGGUCCCUGGCAGGGAGAGACCGAUCCCUGAACGUGAUCCCAGUGAGAAAAGCCAAAAUUUGGCUAAGUCCCGAAAAUCUUACUCUCGGGAACCGGUCUCUCAGGAAGGAACCGGUCUCCCGAGGAUCGGUCUCUCUGGGAGAGACCGGUAUCCGAACGCGUGACCCGAGUUGAAGCUCUCGGGGACUGGUCCCAAGUCGGGGAGACCGAUCCCUCUGGGCGCAGAAUGCCCAGUGAGGGGCAGUGCAUAGAGUGGAAAGUUGAGUGGGCUGUUGGGAUAUUGUUACAAUAGAGGGGCGUAAGGGUCCCCUCAGAUAUUGAACUAAGAUGUCCUGCCUCCCAAAAUUGAAUAUGCAACACCUGUACUUAUGCAAGUAGAUUAUUUUAAUUCUACUCGAAGCCAUUCUUUACACUUUGUUAUUUCAUUAUCCUUUCUUACAUUACGCUCAUUGGCGAAUCUUCACUCUUUAUUCCUUAUCAUUCUUUACACUAUGCCCGUUGGCGAUUCUGUAUUCAUUAACAUUCUUAAUUAUUACUAGUAUUCUUAUUCUUUGCCAUAGUCAUUGACAACUCAUAUCUAAGGUUUUCUCUACCUUAAUCAUCUAUGUCACCCGACUCGGUCUUGAGUCAAUCAACUGCGGAUAAUCCGCGCUCUGUAAGGCUCGAGGCGAAGGACGUCUCACAUGCACCUCAGCCUAAGAUUCUCUCGACUAUAGGUCUAAUCACAGGGUGAGGAUAUACCGUCGAACCCUGGACCACAAGUCGCUCAAUGGACUUACGAGCGAGGAGAACCACACGUACCCGCGUCCCCAAUCUCAUACUCGAACCGGGCGAGGAGAACCACACGUACCCAAUGAGUCACUGCCAGGCGAGGAGAACCACACGUACCUGCAGUUGCCAUACCCUUGCGCUCGGUCGCAAGGCUCAUCCGCUGCACUAGCAGCCGCUGCACUAGCAGCCGCUGCACUAGCAGCACUCAUUCCUAGGGAUUCCGGAAUCCAUUUCUCAUUACUCAAGGGUUGGUCUUAACCCUAUGGAAUUGGCCUAUCUAGGUCCAAGCCUUUACUCAACCUAAGUUAAUACUUUAGGUUCGUUGUUACCAUACUUAUAGCCUAGGUUAUUAACUCUAGCUUCAUUACCUUUGCUCACCUAGGUUCAUGUGAUUCUAGGUUCGUUAUUUUUAUCUCACAACCUAUGUUCUCUAACAUUAGGUUUAAUGCCAUUCUUAUUUAACCUAUGUUCUUUACAUUAGGUUCAAAUCACAUCUGUUUAACCUAUGUCCUCGACACUAGGUUCAAUGCUACUCGAUCUAUAGGUGCAUUUAUGUCCAUAUACACAAGUCCUUUACUUGUCAUUCUUUAACAUGCAACAUGUCCAAUUAAACGUUCUACAUCACCGUUUCCAUCUUCGAGUUCUCUACUUAUCCUAGAGUUAUCAAACAAGUUCGCAAACAUAUACAGGCUCGCAAUGCUAAUCAUGCUUUUUAUAUAUUGUACUUGCAUGCACUCGUGAUCUCUAUAUCAUUUAACAUGCCUCUACUUUAGCAUUUACGUCAUAUUAUUAUUAUCAUGCAUUACUUAGCAUUGGCUACAUGCACUAUCCACAUAAGUCAUUUACUCUUUUAUGCAUCAAUGAAGAUUCUCAACAUCUUUUAGACAUAAGGGCAACUUAGUCGCUUCGGUAAACACAACCCACCUUAACUUGCGCUCCAAUUGCUUGUCGACACUUGCAAUCGGCCUCCCGCGGCAACCGUUGCCCGAUUUGGCCCGAACUCUUGCGUGACCUCCAAACGACCUCCGAAUCGCGAUCCGUCUUUUCCGAAGUUUAUUCCUUGACUCCAAGGUGCUCCGGUUCCGAUCCCACGAUUUUUAGGCGUUUAUCUUGCGUGCUGCGGCCAUCUGCACGACAAAACACUAUUUUGUCAAUAACUUCGCGCACACUCGACGAAUGGUCAAACCGACUUCGCCAACGCGUUUGUUAGGUCCCCAAUUAGGUUUCCAAGGGGUCAAAAUAGAUCAAAAUCCCAUAUGAGCAAAACCCCUCUUUGGGAUGCCCUAACGUGACUAUGCCCAAUACCUCGGAUUUGAUCUAUAAAAUAAGCAAAAGAGAGCUUGUUUAUCAUCUAGGAGCUCAACUAGGAGUAUACGAACCAUUUCUAGGGUGUUUAGAACAAACCCUAGAAAUCCACCAUUAGAGCACCUUGAAGAACACCAUGGAUUUCAUGUGUUCUAGGUCUCCACAUGGUUCUAAUCAUGUUAGAAGCUCCAAAUCUCUAAGUAUUAGGGUUUAAAAACCAAACCCUAACCCUAAUCCCACCAUGAGAGGAGACACAUGGCUUACCUCACAAGGUUGUUCCAAGCAUGAGGGAGAUGAAGAUGAAGGUAAGCUUCUUCUUCUCCUUCCUUCCCUUUUCUUUUUCCUUCUCUUUUCUUCUUUUCCUUCCCCUUUUCUUGCAACUGGUUGAGAUAGGAAGAAAGAGACACGAGAGGGAGAGAGAGAGAUCUGCUGUGAGGGAGAGGGGUUUAGGGCUAUUACAUUAGGUAACACUUGCAAAUAAACCCCUCCAAUCAUUUAUAAUUGCAGCAGACUUCAUUGUGCUGUCGGGUCCCCCGCGUAUCGGUACACGGGUUGGUCUCACUGGUACACGACUCGCGCAACAGCCAACCCGAGAGCAGUCUUACCUCGGGUCGCUUGCUGUACCGGUACAGCCAUCAACCUGUACCGGUACACAAUGCUCCAGAGUUGAUUUUUAGGUCCGUUUCAACUCUAAUUCGCUCGUUUGACCUCCGAUUCUUCUCAAAUCAAACCGAGGCUCACCAAACCUGUUUUUGAACAUGUCUCCAUCAUGUUUUCAUCCACGCUAGUGUUGGACUUAGCUCUUGGCCCAACAUAACCUUUUGGGUUCCGUUUUCGCGCCUACGCGCACCGAAACGCUAAAACCAUUCUAACUCUUUUAGAACUCAUUUUUAACCCUUCCAACUUUGUUGGAAUGUUAAAUAGAACUUGCCCCACUUUUUCUUUCUGACACUUUGGCCAAUUUGGCUAAAGUCCACUAUAAUGUACCGAAGUUUUCGGUAUGUUACACUAGCAGCCGCUGCACUCGCAGCCAGGAUUCCGGAAUCCACUUUCAUAACUCUAGGGUUGGUCUCACCCUAUAGUAUCGACCUAUCUAGGUCCAAGCCUUUACUCAACCUAAGUCUAUAACAUUAGGUUCAAUGCCACUAAGCUCAUAGCCUAGGUUUCAUAAUACUAGGUUCAAUGUUUUUACUACCCAGAUCCAUUUGACUCUAGGUUCAAUAUCCCUAAGUUCAUAACCUAGGUUUACUUGACCCUAGGUUCAAUGCCACUCACCUAGGUUUGUUUAACUCUAGGUUCCAUUCUCAACCUAUGUUCAAGGUCACUAGGUUUAAUGCCACUCAUCAUUCAUCUAUAUUAAAUAACACUAGGUUCCAAUGCCACUCAUCAUACUUAUCAUCCUAAUUAUCCUCACUUAGGAUUCUUUAUAUAUGACACUUAACGAGUUCUUUACUUUACUUAGAGUUUGUCUUUCAUAUGAGUCUAACAUGUACCUUACACAUUCACUUAGCACAUAACUUAUGCAUUCGUUAUUGGCAUCUCAAUCUUGCAUUCAUAUCUAAUUCAUGCAUUUACAUAAUAUCUAGUUUUUGUUUUCCAAUGUCGAAUUCUCUAAUCGACCAAGUUUAACAUGCAUAGUUCAUCUAGCAUAAUCUACAAUAUGUCCACAUGCAUAUUUUAGUAAGGACCGAGAUUUUGGCAGUAUAGCUAAACUCUCAGUUGACGAUGUUUUUGUGUGUAAUUUAAUUACAAAAGCACUCGUCAAGUUUUGGGAGAAACGAGUUAGAACGGAGAUUUUACGCGAUCUCCAAGUUUCACAUAAAGUGAAUAGUAACUCGAUUUUUCGGAGAAGCCACGGUGUGAAGUAGGCUUAUGGCUCGUACCGGACUCCGUUCAUAGCAGUCCAAUAGCUCGUUUCGACCGGUUCAACUGUUUUGGAACUAAUGGCGCUGACGGAUUUUGAGUUUGACGUACGGAUUUUGAGGAAAUCCCAAAAUACAUGUUUUAUAUGUAUUUGUGCAUAGUUUCUUCCAUUGGAGAGUUGGAACGAAUUUCGUCGCGAAUCCGAGAGCGAUCGAGAUGAAACAAAAUCGUAGCUUUGUUGUCUCCGUCAUGCUGAUCGCACUGGUGUGAUCCGUUCGCAAAUCUGACGGACGGAUCUACGGAGAUUGCACGAUGACCGAGUUGAGGUCAAUGAGGGCAAAACGGUAUUUUCGCAAAAGUUGCAAUAUUUUAUGUACCGUUUCAUGCGAGAUCGCACAUGGAGGGCUAUUCGCGCAUUUUACACGCGCUGUGAGGGACUCAAUACUAAAUACUGAGGUUUGGUGGGUUAACCCGCAAAUUUGCACCAUGGUAUAUAUAUGGUUACCUAGGGUUUAAUCCAUUGGAACCCUAACCUAGCCGAGCUAACCCUAGCCGUCUUUUCCCCCACCUCACCUCGUGCACAGUGCGCUUCCCGGCCACCGCUGACUGAGCCCCGGCCGGCCAGCCACCACCGCAGCCACCUUUCUUCCUCUCUCUCCAUCUCUCUCUCCAUCUCUCUCUUUUCUUCUCGGGUUAGAGCCCAGGCCGGAGUCCCGGCGACCUGUCCCGUCGGUCGCCGCCGCCCUUGUGGGCCGCCGCCGCCGCCUCGGCCAGCCUGUGGCCGCCCAAGUUUUGUGCAGACCGAGGUGAGUUCGUACUCUCUCCCUCGCGCCGUCGCCGCCCAGAGCUGCACCCACGGCCUCCCUCACGGCCCUUCGGCACCCCCGCCUUCGGCCGGAGAAGUCACCGCCGCUGCCGCAAGCCUCGCUCGCCGCCGCCGCGGUCCCCAGGCCGAGCCGAGCUCGGGUGGCCACGUCCAAGUUGCGGGCCACUGUCGCCAUCGCCCGCCACCUCCCUCCUCCUCCUUGUGACCUCGUGGCCUCUUCGCCGCUGAUCGGUGUCGCCAUAAGGUCGUCGUCGCCGGAGAAGCCUAGCCUGAGCUCAUCUUUCCUCGUGCGGGCUAGGGCAUCGCCGCCCAUCUCUUCGGCUGCCUCUCACCGGCGUCUCACGUGAGCAGCAGCCUUCCCCCACCUACCGCACCCUCUUGCCGGCAGCGCUCCCGCCGCCGAGUCGUCGCCGGUCGAAUCCAAGCCACUCUACUCCGGUAAGCUUAAAUAAGGGCUUUUCUUGAGUAGUUUACUAUUCCGGGCAAUCCGAGGCUUCCCGAUCUCUACGGAAGGGAGCACGAUGAUCGUGACUCAUCGCUGAUCAUCGUGCUCACCUUAGUUUCUGUCGGGGAGAUCCCGUUCCGCUGUUUCGGUAAUGUCGACCUUGUCGAGCCUUUUUGGCUACUGUUUCUGGUUUGCGUGCGUUGUUCCCGCGAUCCGAGACUAUUCUGAUGCCUCCGGAGGUGAGCACGGUGAUUACUGGUCAAUGAUGAUCACAAUGCUCAGCUUACUUUGGAUCAACAGGGUCCAGUUAGUCCUGUUCGGCGCGUUUUUCCCCGACUGCGCGCUGUUCGCAGAAUCUUCGGGUUGCGCCCGCGCCUCCCACAGUGAGCCGUUGUGCUCCAGAUCAUGAACACGACCUCCAGCACAUUGAGACCUGUCAGUACGUGUCUCGAAAGACCUUGGAAGUCCUCGGUUUGCGUGAACGAGCCACUUAAUCGCUCAAAUUACAUGAAAUAAUAGGAUUUUACGUAAUUAGAGGGACUUUUGUACAAUUGUGCACCACUGUGGACAGUGUGUAUGAGUGUGUUCGACCUCUGGACUGAUUGUCCAUGAUCCUGUAGCUUUCGCGGAAAUCGAAAAGUCGAUUUCGAUGCGUUUUUCGGCGAAAUUAGCCGAAAAAACGCAGUUUCAGUUCGGAUUUCUUCCGACGUAGUUUGUUUAACCUGUGAAUUGUCGCUGAGACUUGUUGGCUGGUCACCAUCAUCAUUUUGUGGGUUCGGUAAUGAUGGGUGAGCGACGGUGGGCACCGGUGUCGAAAUAGACGCUCCCGGGAACCCGUAUUCGUACAAUUAUUCGGCGAUAAUUGUGUAGUGGUGUUAUCUUGUGUUUGCUGCCAAGACAUCCAAAUUGGUGUGUUUUGUGGCAGCGGGUGACUCGUGGUACGAGUCGGUGAGUUUCGGGACACUUAGUGGGUCCCGACGACGUCCCGGUAUGAUUUUCGGGACUUCCGGUGAGUUACAGUGAUUAGUUUUGGAAAACCGAUUACGGGGAUCUUGUGUGGGGGGUUUGUGAGUCUCGUGCUUUGGGUUAGUGGUUUGGAUACUGACCUGGUGGAUCUUCUUAGGUCCGGUAGACUCUGUGCGUACCCAGUGUUCCGACGCGACAGCGACAGGUGGGUGCUUCGAGCUGGUAGUCGGUGAGAUCGUUUCACCCUUCCUCUGUUCUUUCAUAUCAGUAUCGUAGUCUCUACAUGUCAGUUGAUUGUUUAUCGUUUGUUUAUCAUAUCUCAUUGAUUGCAUUUAGAUAGUUGUGGAUAGACAUGUAGAGCGGGUUGCAUAUAUAUUGUAUCUCUGUGGACCUUUGGUCUAGGCAGCACAUCGACUCCUUUGUCGUGUGUUUCCAUCUGGUUGAUCGUGGUUCGGCAUUGUACGCCCUUGCACCUGGCUUCGGCCAUGGCACCAGUCUCUUUUUGCCGGUUUUCGUUUUGAGCAUAUCAGCAUGAUUUAGUCACAGCACUGUGUAUUCUAGACACUAGGUUGGUUUGGCCACCAACCAAGGGGUGUACGUAUCCGGAUAGGUCGUCGGUGACGCAUGAAUAAGUUGGCAGUGUCUGCUCUGUGACAGGUAACGCUUGAGGUCUGCGGACCAAUAUAGCAGCAUCAGAUUGGGUUUGGUUUGGACUAUUUACCCUUGAGGCAUCCGAUCAGUUGAGUUUUUCGUUACAGCAGUAGUUUCGUUCUUGCUCAGUUAUUAUCUUGUUUCUAUUACUACUGUAGUUGCUCUUAUAUCACAUCAUGCUCAUAUCUGUAGUUCUGUUUCAUAUCAGCAUAUAUAUUUGUUUAUCUAUCUCCUUUGGUUUUCGGUGAUUACGACUUGCCUUCGUGGCUCUGUCGUACCUACUGAGAAACCAUAGUUGCGGUUUCUCACCCCCCCUUCCCCCCAGGUGACUUGGGCGAGGAGUUAGAUUUUGGGCUCGAUGGGAGGACGAUCUAGCUAGUCUGGUAUAGCAACCGUCACCCUGGUUACUUUCAUUUCCGCACUUAGUAGUUUUAAUAAUAAAUGGUUCAGUUAAACGAUCCUCAUGUUUGUUUGAAUGUUGGUGAUUUGGCUUCAGUGGAUCUGUGAUGUUUGCCUUAUGCAUGUGAUUUUAGAUUGUAGAUUUGUGGAUCUGGUUUUAUAGAUAUUCAGUUCAUGCAUUUAUGUCAUUAUGCAUUGUGGUUUUCUACCUCUCGAGAUAGUCGGUUUUCAAAAUAGAGUUUUCGAGUGGGAAAUAAUUUUAAAAAGAUUUUCGAAUAGUUUUCAUGGAUGACUGAAAUAGAUUUCAAAAACAAAGCUUCCGGGUGAGGAGCACUUUUAAAUAGGACGAUUGUUGUAUUGUGCAUUGCAUCAUCCAGCGCCUAAGGAGUGCUUAGAGGCAGGCAUCAUCUUAAGGAUUGAUAGCUGUAUAGAAAUGCAUAUGAUGAAUUGGUUGUUGAUUGAUAAAUGUAAGUUGUGGUUGAGAUCCUGUUGUAUCAUUGGUACGCCGUGCAAAUAUAAAAGAGACUAUGUCCGACUGGGCAGGGAAACUUUGUAUUUGUGGCGAGUUUGUGCGUCUCGUGGAUCAUACUAUUUUUUUAAAAAAACAUGUUCUUCCGCAACUCUAUUUUCGAAAUGAUAAUGAAUUUUUUUUUAAAAAAAGCUUUUAAAAUCGGCCCCGGGGCGUGACAUUUUAUCCAACAUAUUCCAAUGGUAGGCAACAUUCUUCAACAUAAUAUAAUUCAUGCAUUCAUCUAGCAAUUAUAUCAUGCAUAAUAUUACCAUUUGCAACCUACCAAACAUACAUAUAUGCACCAUAAUAACCAUGCAUCAUCUAAUGGUAGUCAACAUAGCAUUCACCUCAUGCACUAUAUGUUUUACCACUAACUACCAUUAUAUGCAUCAAUAAUAAAUAACACUUCGCUUCGACAUGGAAGCGAGCUAAUAACUUUGCUGAGCACAACCCACCUAAAAUCGCUUUCCGAUUGCUUGUAGUCACUUGCAAUCGGCCUCCCGCGGCACACGCGGCCCGGUUCGGCCCAAUCUCAUGCUCGAACACCGAACGACCACCAAUCCGCAAUCCGGAAAUUAAAAGUCUAUAACUUGAUGCCACGAUGCUCCGGAUCAGUUCUUGUGAUUUUUGGACGCCGCCUCGGCCCUCCAGGCGGAAACGAAGCCGAAACGUCCGUUUCUUCAAUAUCUUCGCAUAGGCUCGACGAAUAGCCAAACCGAGUUUGCCAACGCGUUCGUAUACCUGGCAAUUAGGUUUGUAUAGGGUUAAUUUAGAUCAAACCCUAACACAAAGCAAAAUCUCAUUUUUGAGCCCUAAGAUGCACUAUUGUAAGAAAUCAUCAUAUAACCUCUUAAUUCAUGCAAUAGUCAAUUAUUUAGCAUCUAAGGAUUCUACUAAACCCAUUCUUAGAGCAUAUAAAUAAACCUCUAAAGAUCUACCAUGAGAGAGGCUCAAGCUUACCUCAACUAAGCUCCAAUUAACCCAAGUAUUACUGAUUUAACAUGCUAACAACACAUUACAGGCUAUUAGAACACUUAAGCAUAAGGAUUAAACCAAAUCCCAAAAGCUUACCAAAAUGUGAACGCCGAGACGGAAGCACGCCGCUCAACCGGGCGCACGAAGGCCCGAUCCGACGCUCCCAACGCGUUCGCAAGCUCGCUCUCCGCCAACGCCGCGAAUUUGAGAGAGAUCUCUAAAGAGAUGAUAAAGAUAUUUAGAGAGAGAAAGGGAGGGUUUCUCUCUCCCUCCAUAUGUGCGUGUGUAUGUGCUGUGGGUGUGUGUGUUCGGUUGAAGGAGAAGAAGAAGCAAAUGCUUCUUUUAUAAUUAACACCCUCAACAAUACAUUAUUCACACUCAGUUUAACAGCUCAGGUACAGAUAUUUUUCGCCUGCCUUUUUGAAUGUCCGUUUGAGCUCAAAUUUGACAGUCAGGUUCGGUUUUACUUAACUUAACGAAAGAAAUUUUAAUCUUUCAGUUUCGACCCUGUUUGGUCACCGAAAGCUCUACCGAACUGUAAUUUCUAGCAGAUAGCAGUCGGAUUUUAUUUUCCACCUUUCGGGUGUCAGAAUGGCAUGAAAUUUUAAUUUAGCCUCAUAAAAAUAAUUCUGACAUAUUCUUCAAUUUUCAUAAUUUUCUGACACUGCGCAUUUUCUACUAAAAUAAUAGCCCCAUUUCUCACAGAAAAUUCUAAAUCUUGUGUUCUCGUUCCGAUUUCAACACAAGUCAUUUCAGACUUUUAUUUUACUUCUCUAAAUCCAAUAAAAAUAGUAUCUCAUAUAAUUUUUAUUUAUAUUUACUUUUAUACCGAAAUCCGGUAUAUUGCAUUUACCACAUUUGAAAGUGGCGAAUUAUUCAUUACACGAGACUAGCUUUGUAAAUAAAUUUGUGAAAAAGUAUUUUUAUAAUUAUAAUUUUUUUAAGCUUAUAAAUAAAAAAAAACUCAAAAAUGCAUGGUUCCAAGUGAACCACAAGCCGCCACGUGGUGCAAUUUCAUAAGAAGUUCCGAUAUGCCUUGAGAAUAAUAUUGCUUGCUGUGUUCUAGUAUGUAUAUAUAUAUAUAUAUAUAUAUAUAUAUAUAUAUAUAUAUAUAUAUAUAUAUAGAUAUAUAUAUAUAUCUUUAUAGUUUUCUUCCUACCUAAUUAAAAUAUUAUUAUAAAAUAAUUUAUACAAAUAUUUAAGUAAUUAUAAGAAAUCAUAACCAUACAUAACAAACUAUUUUGAUAUUUUUACAACUUGAUCUUCUUUUUCCUUUUUUCUUAUAUAUGAUUAGAAUAUUAAAAUGUUAAAAGUUUGAAAUAAGUAUUUAAUUUAUAGUUGAACAAAAAACUAUACUGUUUUAUAUGAUUAUUAUAUUCAAAUAUAAACUUAAGAUCAUUUCUUUUUUCAUUUAUUAUUAUUUCUUCGUUGUUAAGUUUCACAAAAAUACACUGCUCCCUGUGCCUCACGACCUCACAGGCUCCUCCAACACCCCUUCUCUUCUCUAGGGCUUAUUCACGUGGCAUCGAUUCUCUCUCUCUCUCUCUCUCUCUCUCUCUCUCUCUCUUCUGUGUAUUUUUGCUUCUCCUUCCUCGAACACUAGGGUUGAUUCUUGUGAAUAGUAUUUCAACCCCUAUUUAUUUACUAUCAUUUGAAAUUUUGAUUUGUGAUUACGCCUCUUUUUCUGUGUGAAUUUAUCACCUGAUAAUAAUACGAAGCUGAUAUCUUAGAAUUUGUUUUCGUAUUGUAGGAUUAUAAUUUACAACGAUCUAGAAGAGGAUGAGCUUCAAGUUAGUGUUUAAUUCUCUGCGAGAGAUCUUUCCGGAGGUAAAUAAAUCCUAUAAGUGUGAUGUUAUUUUUUUUUCUUUUUUCUUUUCUUUUUCAAAUUUAGUUUUUAUGGUUUGAUCCUUAGGCAUCUUAGAAUUUUUUGUAUAAGAAUAAGUGGCUUUGUUGAACAGCAGAACAUAUUGGAAUAGCCACCUUUUAUUUUUAUGUUGUCGUUGCAAAAUUUGAUUUUGGUUUCUUCAAAUAUCUGAAUAUUUUUUAAUUUUUCCUAUUCUUGUUGCUUACAUUCUGUUAGUAUGUGUUGUAGUGCAAAAAUUGUAAGUAGUCAAGUGAUCAAUUGUUACUUGCAUCAAGUUGUGACAUGUUGCGUCGCAUUAACAAUGACAUAUAAGGUUGAUAUAGUUCAUAAUAGCUGUGACAUCACUCUGACAUUCGACUUGCAAAUUAAGACCCCUCUCAGCUUGGGGGUAUCUAGAUUGACAUAAUUUUAGUUCGGAUGAAAAUCAAGUUUGAUGAGAGUAAAAGUAUUGGCCUUGCCAACAACUAGCAUAAUACCGGAGAGAUUUAGUUUAGGUUAGAUUUUGGAUCUUCUUAUGAAAGAUGACUUCAGACUAUUUUAAAGAGAUUUUUUGUUUUCGAGAGUUUAAGCUCAUGACUACCUAUCGAAUCUUCUUGAUAUCUUCACGAUGGAUGAUAAAACUAAUACUUUCACUGUAACACACUGAACUUUAGCAAAUUGCAAGGUUCGAGUGUUUGAUCUGCGUUUUGAGUUUUUUCAGAUAUUCUGGAGGGUCGUAGACUGUGUUCGGAUCUAUGGCUCGCAUCCCGAGGAGCGAGGUUAAAAAUUUAAUACCAAACCUCUAAACUGUAGGAAAUUGGGCUGCUCUCGGGUUUGCCUCUGCAAGGCUGAGUACCAGUUUUGCAUUGACCUGGUACCGAAACUGGAUCUUGUACCGGUACUGCAUCGGGCUGGUACCGGUACCAAGUGCAUUUUCUCGCCAACCCGAGGCUCGGGUUUGCGCACGCUAUAGCUUGGUACUGGUACUCUUUCUCGCGUACCAGUACGCAGUGCAGUGCGGACUGCACAUUGUUGGAGGGUGUUUUUACAAAUGUUGCAACUCUAUAUAACCCCUCCAUAGCCCCUUGAGGACUUUUUUGAGCCUUAGAACGUGGAGAAAUAGGUGAGGACCCUCUCCCAUGGUUUUUCUCCUAUUUUUUCUUAGUUUUAACUUUAGUUUGAUCUCUCUUUUCCUCUCCUCGUUGCUUCAUUUUGGGUUUCCACUCUUGGAGAAGCCUUGGAUUGGAGAGUGAAGCUUUCUUAAGGAUCAAUCUUCAACCUUAACUCAUUCCAAGCUUGGAUUGGAGCUUCUUGAGAGGUUAGCAUCUUAGAUCUUCUAUUUAGAUCUUAUUUUGGUAGAGUUUUUGAGAUGAAAACCUAGAAAUGAGAAUUUAGGAUUUUAUUUAGGGAUUUUUGAUUUGUGGCUUUUGGGGCUUAAUUGAUAGGUGUAGAACUUUCAUUUGGGUUGGAUUAGAAGGGUUUUAUCUCUCAUUUGAAAAUUGAGAGAGAUUUUCACCAUACAAGGUGAGUUCUUGCCCUUUUCUUGGGUUGGUUAAUAUUUGAACCUAGGAAUGUUCGUUCCUUGCGUUUAACUCUCUUAGAAUUUCCUUUAGGGAGCUAGGAGGCUUAUGGACACCUUCUUUUGCGCGAACGAAGGGUUCCAAGGAGCUCUUGGUGGGUUUGACCUCACCGAAAUGGGUGAAAUCCCCCCCUAUGUUAUUUUUCUUGUUUUAAAAAUUAAAAUUCAUGCAUAUUCAUGCUAGUUAGAGUAUAUGUGAAUUUUAGAAUGCUUAAAAUACAUGUAUUAUGUAUCAUGAAAAAUCACCUCUAUGUAGUAGAGAGAUAUGUGUAUAGCAACCAUGCAUGUGAGUAGCAUUCUUUGAUAUAGCUUAAAAUCAUGUUUCAUUUAGUGAAAAAGACAAGAAUAUCAUGCUCUUGGACAUAGAACUUAUGCUUGACAUAAUGGACAUUAAAUGUCAUAAAGUAGCAUUCAACUUAGCAAAUGGUUAAACUUGUACUUGAUGACAUAAUGAUAGGCCAUUGGGGCUUUAGCCUUUAUACCAUAUUUUAGACAUGAUGACUUAGUCUGGAGACGGAUGAUUACACUUGUUUGCAUUGUGCUCAUUUGCACAUGCUUGUGAGGGUCGCUCCCCACAAGCCGGCACUCCGGAGAUGGCCAUCGCGACAUAAGCUCACCCGUGCGGGAUUGGGUGCCGAAAUGCUAUGCCGUCGAGGAGGCUCAUUCCUAAUGUGGGAAUGUUGACUACCACAGGGCCAUUAGGCAUAGCGCAAGCCAGACUACCUUAGUGUAGGUCCUAUGUGAUUGGAACAAUGUUGAAGUAUAAUGCAAUACGGACAUUGAACUAGUUGUAAAUGUUGACAUUCUACUAGUUGUACUUGUGGGCAUCAUGUUAUUUAUACAUAUGCAUAUUCAUGUUAGAAUAGCAUUUAUGCUUGUGGAAAAUCCAUGCUAAGUAGAGGCAUAGUAGCUUAGCAAGUUUUAAUCAUGCUUAUUAUACAUGUUGUUCAUGUUAAUUAAAUGUUAGAACUUACUACAAUUACUUCCAUCGCCUAGUGGUGUAUUUCGCUGAGGUCGGCGGUUUGCCCACUGGGAACUAUUGAUUAUAGUUUUCACGUCCUCUAUUUUGUUGUUUUUAUUUCAGAGCCUUCCACUCCGGGAGAGGCUCGGUAUCGCGGCAAGGGUAUUGCCUCUAGCUAGUUGUGAGGAGCUUCGCUAUUAGGUGGUUCACCCCUCUUUUUGUUUUAUUUGGAGAGGUUGAGAGUUUUGUACCUUAUGUAGAGACCACAAUUUUUGUAUAUCUAGUUCUUAUACUUGAAACUUGAUGUAUCUACCUUAUGGUUUAUGUUAGUUGUUUAGUUCUUUUUCUAUUCUACUUGUCAUUAGAAUUUAGUUGUAAUCAUGCUCUGAUAUCUCUAGAUGCUCGUUAUUAUUGCUUUAACUAUCGCUUGUUGUAGACGCCUUAUAUGUUGCAGGCAUAUGGCGGGUCUGGACACGCACCGGGCGGGCUUCCGCUGGGUCCCGGGGCGUGACAUUCACUCUUAAUAAACUAGAUUUACGACCAAAUCACAACUUCGUCAAUCCAAGCGCCCCCUCAACGAUGUGUGCUAACAUAUCAUGUGCUUGUGCCCUACUUCAUUAUUUGAGUGGAUGUUGAAAUGUGCUGGUGAAUGCCGCAAAACUGCUGUCAUAAGCAUAAGCAUGCGCUGCUAUACACGAUUGCAUAGGCCAAACAAACCCUUAGUCAGAAAAUAGAAGCAAGUAAGAAGUUGAUUCUAAAACAUAACUUUUCACUUGCGAAGAGUCAUGCAUUAAUUGGUUAGAAUUGGAAAUUGAUUGACUGAUAGUGUGGGUAAGAAGAUGAUCGAUCAGUUAUUUUCAUAUGGUUGACCUAUUUUGAUCUUUGGUCAUUUUUCAGUCUUCAUUCAUUUUCUUUUGAUUGUAGAGUCAAAUAAAUAGUUGACAAAAUCCAAUAGUUCUUGAAAUUGAUGGAGGGAAGUAAAAGAAGUUGUUGUGGAGUUAUUGCUAAUUAUUUAGAGAUUUAUGGUAUCCAUUCAAUAGAAGUGAAAAAUAUUUCCUCAUGGUCAAACAUAAAAUAUUUAUAUUUGAUUCUUAAUAUUUAGCAUGUUACAAAGCUUGGAUGGCUUUUCAUAUAUAACUAGUAUAGGAAUUACGCGAUGCGGCUGGUUGAUUUUAUAGCAGUAAACUAAUAUAUAUAAUAAUUAAUAAAAAUGAUUUCAUUAUCGACUUUUGUACUCAGCAUAGGCAAGAAACUUGAAAAAUAUAUUCUUCUAAUAUAUAAAAAUGAUAGUGAAAAGCUCAACGUUAUAUUAAUUAAAUAUAUGGGCCAAAAUAUAUUUACUAUGGUGAGGAGAAAUAAUAUAAUAUAUAAAUUAAAGAGACUAAAAAUUAAUUAAAUUUAUUUAUGUAUAUUACAAUCAACAAUUUUUUUUUUUGGAUUCAAAUUCUUAGACUUUAAAUCUCUUCUUCAAAUCAAAGAGCCUCUAUCAUUUGCUUUGAAUCCUCACAAAUCAUUCGCUUAUGGCAUACUUGGUAUUUAAUAUUAAACUGGAUAUGAUAGCAUAGAAGGAUUGGAUAUAAUUGCGAUUAGUAUUGGAUUGGACAAAUAAUAAUCCAAUUCAUUGAUGAUUAUAGAAUAGUAUAUAAAAUUGGAUUAUUUAAUGAGAAUUCACACACCUAAAAUAAAUUUCAUAAUUUAGAUUUUAAUUUGAAUUGAGAUAUUAAAUUCAAAUUCAAAAUUUAAAACUUAAACUCUAAAUUUGAACUUAAAGCUUCAAUUUUAAUUUAAAACUAAAUUAGAAAUUCAAAUUGUAAUUUAACAUGGGAUAAUUUGUGAGUCGAACUAAAACUACGGAUCUUGUAGUCACAAAUCUAAUAACUUUUCUUAAGAAAGGGAAAAGAAAGAAAGAAUUCUUAUGUUGAGUAGAAGGGGACAACCGCCUACUUUUUGAUGCGAACGAUGGAGAACUCAGGAGCAAUGUCCCCUCCUUUCCUCUCUCCGCUGGAUCUCUAUCGCCGUUGCUGCCGCUGCCGCCAGUCGCCCUUGCCCUGCCAUCGCCUUCGUCGCUGACGCUAUGGCCCAGUGCAUCAGCAAGUUCGUGCGCUGCCCUGACGCCACCUCUAAGGCCCGCAUCUAUAUCGACCUCAACGUCCAUCGACCCAAGGAGUACAGGACUAUGAAACCCUUGCCGUCUAAGGCUUAGUUUGGUAUUGAGGCCUAUCUAACGUUAUUAGAUAAAAUGGAGUUGAGAAAAAAGCAUAUAGGGAUAUGCUUUUGCGUUCUCCAGUGGGACUGCAGAAAAUAUAUAAUAACCGACUCAUCGCGAUAUGCAGAACGCAAUAAAGAAGAGAAAAAAAAAAAGAAAGAAAAGAAAAGAAAAGCGAGAGGAAAUAGGAGAGGGGCGGUAUGGAGAUGGAAAGGCGACGGUUGUAAUUGUAUUGGGACUGUGGAUGCAUUAAUUGGGACGGUAGAGAGAAGGUGAAGGGUCGUGUAUGUUUUUGAAAGUGUGAACUGCUUCCUCAAAAUUAGCUAUGCAUGAUAUGUCAUUUAAAUAUUGAGUUUUAAUGAAAAGGUAAAGUAAUGAAGGUUAAAUUCUCUCCCUAAAAUAAGGAGAGUAUGCCAAAUCAGCUUAAAUAUUGAACUUUCACAUAGUUUAAUAGAUUAAUAGAUAAAUGACUCUUAAUGAAUGUGUACAUAAUUUGUAUCCCUUAGGCCUAAUUAUAUAAGAAUAAAACUAAAUCUUUUCAUUUAAUUUGAAACCCAGAAUAAUUAGUAAUCUAAUUGUAAAGCUUGAGUUUUAGUUUGAAAAAUAGACUUUCAUCAAGCAGAUUGGUUAUAUAUAUAUUUUACUCGUUAUAUCUUUCUAUGUGUCACCUAUUUACUUAAUAAGUUAUAAAUAUAUAACUUAUUAAUAUUUUAUAAAUUUGUUUUUAUUAUCUAUCCGUCGCAUCGCACGGAUCUCUGCACUAGUUAAGCAUGAUUCAAAUAGCACUAGUUAAGCAUGAUUCAAAUAAUUCUGUUCGGUUCGACUUAGUUUAGCUUGUACUUCUAUCUUUCUUUCACAUUUAAUAUAAAUUGAAAAGAUCGAGUUGAACUAAACAACACUAAACCAGCCAAUUCUUACCAUUCAAUCAAUUUUACAUAAACUAAGAAAAAAAACCCGACCCGAUCGAGUCUCAACCCUGCCGCUAUAACACUUCUCGUUCUGCCAAAGACGUAAAAGCGAAACCCAAACCCCAACACAUGUCACCACCUCUAACUGAACUCUUAAAACCCUUCGCGGCCGCUCGCCAACCACUCACCAUCCCCCCCUCCCCCCUCUUCGCAACAGCUCCUCUCCAUUCGAUUUUUCGUCCUUUGCCAUCUUCCUCCUCUCUCUUCUCCUCUCGAUUCUCUAAACAGGUACUAACUUUAAUUUACGAUCUCUACUUUCUUUUUUUAAAAAGUAAUUUAUAGGUUUAAUCUUUUUUUUUCUUUUUUCUUUUCUAUCUUUAUUGAGGUGUUAAAUUUUACUUAUUUGUAGCUUUUUUGUCCUUGUUUUUGUUAGACGCUUUUAAGAUUUUUUGGCUAUUCAUGUGGUAUUUUUUUCAAACUUUUUUUUUAAAAUAAUCUUAGAAAAUAUUAUAAUUGGCUUAAUGACUCUACUAUUAAAUAAUAUUUUUUUUGCCAUAUAAGAGUCACGGUAGAAUUUUUUCUUAAAAGGUGCAUUUGUUUAAGAUUAUCCAAACAAUUAUGUCAGGAUUACUAUAUUUGAUUCAUUGAAUAAGUAAUCUGUUCAGUAUUGCAGUAUUAUUAUAAAAGAGUGUAAAAAUAUUAUUGAAGGGAAGCGUAUAUCUUGGGUUGCCUGUAAUGUUUCAUAUUAUAUAAAAUGACAGUUUUACCCUCCCUCACUAGGGCUGUAAACGAGCCGAGCUCGAGCGAGCUGGAGCCAGCUCGAGCUCGGCUUGUCAUCUUCAAGGUCGGCUCGUGUUCGGCUCGAGUUUGUGACGAGCUCGAAAACUUUGGCUCGUGAUCGGCUCGAAACUUAAUCGAGUCGGCUCGUGUUCGGCUCGUUAGCUCGAGCUCGUGGGCACACCCUCGGCAGCGAUUCUUCGCUCCUCGACAUCCUCCUAGCUGCCGAGCUCGCCGUGGCCGAGGACGUACGCGACCUCGUCGACCUCGCGCGGCGCGAGUGCUGGCGCUCGACUUCGGCCCCCGACCCCGCCGAGGACGCACACCGCUCCGAGGUCCUGAAGCUGAUCCGCGAGAUCGAGAUGGAGAUCGUCCCCGACCGCGCGUGCCUCGCCGCGAUCUUCAAGCCUGAGAUAGAGAAAGAGGGAGGCGGCUGUGUGCGGUGCUUGUGCGAGCCUGAUAAAGAGAGAGAGAGAGUUGGGUGUGUCAUGUGUGUGUGGCUGUGUCACCUGUGUGUGUGGCUGUGUGUGGGGCAGUGUGAAAAAGAUGGAAAAAAUACUAAUUAGGGUUGGGACUUAAAAAAAAAAUAUUGGUACUUAUUUAUGGAUCUAUGGGCCAUGAAUGGAAAUAAAAACUUCUAUAUAUAAAUGGGCCUAUGGGCCUUUUUUAUAAAUAAGCUAAAUUUUUUUACAAAAUUGGACUAAAAAUUUAAAAUUAAUAAUCUGUAUUAUAUAUAUAUAUAUUUAUAAUACAAAUAUAAUUAUAUAUAUAAUAUAUAAUAUAUAAAAUUAUAUUAAUAUAAAAUAAAUAUAAUCGAGCUGUUAUCGAGCCGAACACGAGCGAGCUGACCCUAGCUCGUGUGUCGGCUCGUUUAUUAAACGAGCGAAAAUUCAGCUAUUUUGGUUCGUUUACUAAACGAACGAGCCGAUCUCGAGUUCAUUUUCGAGCCGAAGCACGAGUUGGCUCGCGAAACGAUCGACUGAUUGCCACCCCUAUCCAGCACCCCCCAAACUAUAUCAAUAGCAUCGUUUCAUCUCUCUCUUCUCUCUCUCUCCUCCCUCGUCUUCUCUCUCUCUCUUUCACGCCCGCCCCUCUCUCUCUCUCUCUCUUCUCACGCACGCCCUUCUCUGUCUCUCUGCCUCUCUUAGCACGAACGCCUAUCGCUUCUACUGCUGCUUCGUUCUCAUCAAGGUAAUCUUCGCGAUAUCCUAACCUCUCAUUCGCCAUUUUCGCAUACAUAUUUAAUGACUUCUUCUCUCUCGCUAAAAUCCAUUGUUUUCGAACUGAAGUUAGUAUACGAUUUGAGUUUUUUUUUUUUUUUUUUUUUUUCCUUUUUUCGUCGAUUUAAGGAGUGUUUAUGCCUCUUUUUCACAUAUUGAUUAUAGAUCUGUUGCAAACUUCGUCAGAUCUGAAGCCAUGUCUUGUUUCAUUUAGUUGCAAUCUUUCUACAGGACAUGCUUAACAGGCACUUUGGUAUUUUUGAUUCUUAUUAAUCUAAUUUUGGAUCUCGUUUUUUUAUUUUUUAUUUUAAAUCUCCCUUUUCCUGGAUCUGAUUUGGAACUGUCAGGGAAAAAUUUAUAUAUUUUUUAUGCCCUAAUUAGUUAUGUGUUGGCCUAAAAGUAAAAAACCUGGUAAAAAAUAAAAACCCUAGAGGAAGAGUUAAUGACACGCAUCCACCCAAGUUUCUGAUGUCGGCAUAUUUUUUAUGGAGCAAAGUAGUUGUCGAGUAAACACUUCGGAUGGUGGAACAUCGGCAAAAUCAACGAAGCGAAAGUCACCACUUGGAGAGGAUUCGAUCAAUGAACAAUUUUGUUCAACCUUGUGUUCACUUGAAACUUCAUUUAAUGAUGCCGAUGAGCACUUAGGUCGGCUUGCUCAUUGCUUUCAAAUCGUGUCAAAUAAUUAGACAAAAAAAGAGAACUUGUUCGAAAAGAUACUAAAGAUCGAGGGAUUUGAGGACAUGCAAUAAUUAAUGUUGUUGAAAUCCUAACGGGUGAUUCUACAAAAUUACAUACAUUCUAUUGCAUGCCCGAUCAUUACAGAAAGCAAUAUAUUUUUCGUAUCUCAGGUGGAUGUGAUUAAAGAAAUUGUGUUAUUAGAGUUGGACUAGUUGGGUUUAGACUUUUUUGGCUUGUCUUUUUUUAGUGCAAGGACUUUUAAACUUUUAUAAUAUAUAAGUGUUUAAGCUUCCACUUUUGGAUGGUAUUAUGAUGUAUGUGGAAGUUUCAACUCUAUGAAAUAUUUAUUCUAUAUGGUGCUUUGUUAAUUUCUUACCUUGGUAAUAGUAUUGUUUGAUAUUAAACAUGAAAAAUAUAUAUUUGAUAUUAUGCUGUUAAUGUGCCUUUAUGUGACGUUUGGUUAAUGAUUUUGUUUAUAGAUGAGUUUCUAAAUUGAAAUUUAUUUGUUAGUGUAUGCUUUUUGAUUAUGUAUUAUGGUCUUUUUUCUAUUUGUUCUUAUAUGGGUUGAAAUUAAUUUUUUUGCAACAUAAUUUGUUUUUUCAUGUUUGGUCUUUUUAUUUUAAUAUAAUUAAUUUACAAGUGCAAAUUAUAUUUACUUAUAUUUUAGUAAAAAAAAUAUUCAAAUGACCACAAACAAUUUUGGAAAAGACUAUACUUUUCUGUUAGGAUUACUAAAUUUUAUAUAUUGAACCAAACAUAGUAAUGCUAUAAACACUGUAAUCCAGCAUUAUAUUAUUGUAUUAAACUAAAUGCGCUAAUGCAACGUCAGUAGUAAUCUCAUUUAGAAAUCCAAGAUACCUGGAUAUGUCGAAAUACCUUGUAAUAUUACAUCACUCGAACCAAAACUAACCUAAAGGCGGUGAAUCAUUUACUGCCUUUCUAAUUUUCCACCAAAGCGGUGAAUCAUUCACCACCUUCUUGAAUAUUGUUUAUUAGGAUUUUUUAGAUUGUUAAGAUUGUAUGUGAUUUUUUGAAAUUUUUAUAUGGCUGUUAGGAUUAUAUAUGGAAAAUAAAAAAAACUGAGGUUGUUACAAUUGUAUGUGGAUUAUUAGAAUUUUUGUUUGAUUGUUAUGAUUGUAUGGAUAGAUUAUUAGGAUUUUUUUGCUUGUUAAGAUUGUAUGUGAUUUGUUGAAAUUUUUAUUGAAAUUUUUAUGUGGUUGUUAGAAUUAUAGAGGAAAUAGAACCAUAAACUGUACUGUUUUAUAUGAUUAUUAUAUCCAAAUAUAAACUUAAGAUCAUUUCUUUUUUCAUUUAUUAUUAUUUCUUCAUUGUUAAGUUUCGCAAGAGUACGCUUUUCCCUGUGCCUCACGGCCUCACAGGUUCCUCCAACCCCCCUUCUCUUCUCUAGGGCUUAUUCUCGUGGCAUCGAUUCUCUCUCUCUCUCUCUCUCUCUCUCUCUCUCUCUCUCUCCUUUGUGUAUUUUCGCCUCUCCUUCCUCGAACACUAGGUUGAUUCUUGUGAGCAGUAUUUUAACCCCUAUUUAUUUUUUAUCAUUUGAACUUUUGAUUUGUGAUUAUCCCUUUUUUUUUGUGUGAAUUUAUUGCCUGAUAAUAAUACGAAGCUGAUAUCUUAGAAUUUGUUUUCGUAUUGUAGGAUUAUAAUUUACAACGAUCUAGAAGAGGAUGAGCUUCAAGUUAGUGUUUAAUUCUCUGCAAGAGAUCUUUCCGGAGGUAAAUAAAUCCUAUAAGAGUGAUGUUAUUUUUUUCUUUUUUCUUUUCUUUUUCAAAUUUAGUUUUUUAUGGUUUGAUCCUUAGACAUCUUAGGAUUUGUGCAUAAGAACAAGUGGCUUUGUUGAACAACAGAACAUAUUGGAAUAACCACCUUUAUUUUUAUGUUGUCGUUGCAAAAUUUGAUUUUGGUUUCUUCAAAUAUCUGAAUAUUUUUUAAUUUUUCCUAUUCUUGUUGCUUAAAUUCUGUUAGUAUGUGUUGCAGUGCAGAAAUUGUAAGUAAUCAAGUGAUCAAUUGUUACUUGCAUCAAGUUGUGGCAUGUUGCGUCGCAUUAACAAUGACAUGUAAGGUUGAUAUAGUUCAUAAUAACUGUGACAUCACUCUAACAUUCAACUUGCAAAUUAAGACCCCUUUCAGCUUGGGGGCACCUGAAUUGACAUAAUUUUAGUUUGGAUGAAAAUCAAGUUUGAUGAGAGUAAAAAUAUUGGCCUUGCCAGCAACUAGCAUAAUACCGGAGAGAUUCAGUGUAGGUUAGAUUUUGGAUCUUCUUAUGAAAGAUGACUUCAGACCAUUUUAAAGAGAUUUUUUGUUUUCGAGAGUUUAAGCUCAUGACUACCUAUCGAAUCUUCUUGAUAUCUUCAUGAUGGAUGACAAAACUAAUACUUUCACUCUUAAUAAACUAGAUUUGCGACCGGAUCACAAUUUCGUCAAUCCAAGCGCCCCCUCAAUGAUGUGUGCUAACAUAUCAUGUGCUUAUGCCCUACUUCAUUAUUUGAGUGGAUGUUGGAAUGUGCUGGUGAGUGCCGCAAAACUGCUGUCAUGAGCAUUAGCAUGCGCUGCUACACAUGAUUGCAUAGGCCAAACAAACCCUUACUAGGAAAAUAGAAGCAAGAAAGAAGUUGAUUCUAAGACAUAACUUUUCACUUACGAAGAGUCAUGCAUUAAUUGGUUAGAAUUGGAAAUUGAUUGACUGAUAGUGUGGGUAGGAAGAUGAUCGAUCAGUUAUUUUCAUAUGGUUGACCUAUUUUGAUCUAUGGUCAUUUUUCAGUCUUCAUUCAUUUUCUUAUGAUUGUAGAGUCAAAUAAAUAGUUGACAGAAUCCAAUGGCUCUUGAAAUUGAAGGAGGGAAGUGGAAGAAGUUGUUGUGGAGUUAUUGGUGAUUAUUUAGAGAUUUAUGGUAUCCAUUCAAGAGAAGUGAAAAACAUUUCCUUAUGGUCAAACAUAUAUUUAUAUUUGAUUCUUAAUAUUUAGCAUGUUACAAAGCUUGGAUGGCUUUUUAUAUAUAGUGGCUCUUAAUGGAUGUGUACAUAAAUCCGUUAGGCCUAAUUACAUAAGGAUAAAACUAAAUCUUUUCACUUAAUUUGAAACCCAUAAUACAACCCUAUAUGAAAAAUUAACUUGAGGAGGGAGUUGAAAGGGGAUUCUUAGUCAAACUCGGGUUCUUCAGCUCUUGCUGGGUCUUCUACCAGUUAUUAGUAGAUCUGGGUUUUUUUGUGGUUGAUUGCGGAUUGCAGCUUUCCUUCCUUUAUUCAUCCCCUUGACUCCUUACAUUACGAGUUUAUGACUAAAGAAAGAAUUAAAAAUUUUGGUUUAUCAACUCUUACUUAAGCUUAACUCUACUAGUAGUAGCUAUGCCACUUUUGCCGAAUGCUUGAGUUGUAUGGAUUUUGUCCAUCUGAUAUGACAAGUUUCAACAAGGAUGGAAAAUACCAUUUCUAAAAUCAUUUAAUAUAAAGAAGUUCAAUGUUCUUACAUUCUUUAGCAGCUUUGGCACCAUGCUUGAACAACAUUGAUUUAACUGUGUUGCUUUCCUUAUUUAUCUAUCUGUUUUGCUUCAAGGUACAUUUCAUCAAAAGCUCCUGAGACCUUCCAAUGGCUGCUUUUAUUUUGAGUUCAAGCAAUUCCUAAGGCAUAAAGUUUCCUUUUUUGCUGUGCAAGAUUACUCUUGUCUAAUCAUGAUGAUCCCUUCAUCUUUAAGAACUGCUGUAUUCUUUUUUGUUGUUAUUUCUCAAUUUAGUUUGUUUAUCUUGAAUUAUGUAACUGCAAUAUAUCUUUCAGUGAUUAUUAUUUCUUUCAUGGAAACUUAAAAGGAUUUUCAGAGGAUAUAUAUUUUUUGAUUUGCUUUAGUACUUGGAGCAAGUAGUGUAGUCAACUAAUCUGUUUUCCUUAAUAUCCAGUUUCAGUCUCAACUUUAUCAGUUUUCAUCUGGCAUCUUGUUCUGCCUUUAUGAUCUACAGAACAAACUUUUAGUCCAAGGCCCUCUUUGAAUAAUUAUCGUUCUUUUCUUCGCUGCAGGUUGAUCUACGAAUUUUGAAGGCUGUCGCCAUUGAGCAUGCUAACGAUAUUGAUGCCGCUGCAGAAUUUAUUCUUCUUGAAGUCAUACCAAAUAUCAGUGCAUCUCCUGAAGCUUCUUCCUUCAAUAUGAACUAUGCAUAUGAACUAAAAGAUUCAUCUUUCAAAAGUAAGAUUGUGUGUUCCUUGAUCUAGGCCCAGUUCUACAGGAUGAAGAUAAUAGAAAACGCCUUUCAUAUUUUCUCAAACCACUAUCUUUUUAAGCCUUCUUUUAUAUUCUUUGUGGCUUUCUCUGCAUAGUUGAAGAAACUUAUUAUUUAGUCUUUCUUCAGGACCUAAUCCGGAGGAAUUUGAGAGAGGUUCUCCUAGUCGUCCUACAAAGGAUUCUCAGCUCAAGUCACCGUACUUAGAGGAAGGAGUGUUUGGAGAUCGAGUUGUAGGUCCAGCAUGUGAUGUGGAUGGUUCAGGAUCUUUGACAUCAUCAGAUGAAAGUAAUGAAGAAUUAAAUGCACCUGUACCUUCAACAUCAAAGUUAGAAAAUAGAUCCGAUCCUCCUAGCCUCGGAGUUUUUCGUCUUGAGCAACAAUACCCUGGUGCUCAAAAUGGAAAUCCAUUUGUCCAUGUGAUCUCCAGACCUGUGCAUGAGGACUCUCUAGGAGAACACAUAGUUGAACCAUGUUCUGAGUUUAAAGCAAGCGGAAAUGAUUCUCUCUGCACCAGCUCUCAACAGCUUUCUGGGUUAGAUCCUGAACAAACUGUUGCAGCUGUUGAAUCUAGUAGCCGAGAUGGUUUAUUAAUUGUUCUUCCUGAUUUAGCGGACCACAAAGCUGCAGGAAUGAAAGAUGUUAAUAAUUCUUUUAGUGAAUCCGAAGCUGUUUCACGAUGGUCAGAUGAUGUUUUGGAGACCAAUGAUGCUAGAUCUGGUUUUACAUCUUGUCGGGAUAUCGUACCAUUACUUAAUGAAGAAAAUAAUUCUUAUAUGGGCCGGGAAGAUGAGGAGCCCAAUAUUACUGACAACAAUUUUAGUGGAGACAAAGGAUUGCAGUCUAGCUAUUCUGAGGAUUUGGCAUCUUUGGAAUAUGAGAUGCUUCAUGCUGGUGAUCGCAAUCUACCUGGAACUUUGGCUACUCGCUCGGGCCAUUUUGUUGACGUUGAACUUCUUGAAGAAUUUAUCACUGAUGCCAAAAGUAACAAGGUACUACUUUAAUUAAGCAUUUGGAGUUGGCGUUUGACAACUGUUCUUUAUUAGCAAAUACUUUUGAAGCAAAUAGCAAAAUUAUCAAGUUCGGGCUCGUUUGGUAUUAUUUGUUUUAUUCUUUCUAUUUUCCACAAGUUUAAUGGAAUUGAAGUCUCCUAACCGUAGACUUGAUGUUAUGGUUAGUUUGCAAAAUCAUAUUUGUACAGACAAAGAAGGAAGAAGCGAAAAGAAUACUAAAUGAAUGUUAGAAGAAAAACUAAAUGCAGCAGCAGUAGGAAGGCGUGUAGUGGUACUAUGGAUACAAACGGCGCGGAUCCGAGGGCGGGAGGGGCCCCUCACCUCCUGCCCCAUUUUCUUGGUGGUCGGGACCGAUUCGAGGCUGAUUGGACUUAUCAUAUUUUUUUUGCCCCCACUUACUGCUCCAUUGGGGGCGCGGCGGGUUGGGAGCGGGAUUUUGGCAGAUUUUUGGUGGAUCAAAGGAAGGAAAGAGUCCCCCGCCUCUUGCUCCAUUUCUUGACGGAAUGGGGUGGGAGCGGGUUUUGGGCUGUUUUUUUUUUUUUUUUUUUUUUUUUUUUUUUUUUUACAUUUCUUAUUUUCAUUUUUUUUGGCAUUUCUGUGAUAUCAAAUAGUGUUACCUAGGAUUAUUUUAGGGCACAUUUGGUUCAUGGUUUGUGGAGGAUUAUCCGGUAAUCCUCCAUAUUUGCUGUUGAAAAUAUUCAAAUUAUUACCAUUCAACUCAAGUUGGGUAGCUGUAAAAGAUAUUGGUGAAGUAGUGGAAUCAUUAAAGAUUCUUAAGUGAUAUGAAUACUAGAUUAUCAUGGGUUAGGAUGUAUUCCUAUUUCCAUUCUUGAUGGGAAUUAUUAGUGGUCCAUUAAAAAGAAUAUACUAGUUCUUAACAACCUCCAAACUCAAGUGGCUUGAUAAGUUAGUAACAAACUUACUAUUCCAAAUAUAAAAUAUACAACAUUCCCAGAAUAUUAUGAACCUUGAACUAAACAGCCCCCAGUUCUUUUGCGUCUAUUCUUACCUCUUUGUUUCUCUUUAUCUGAGAAAGUGUCAUGUUCAGUCGAGUCAUUAAAUCAGCCGAAAAUCUUUCACAUAGAAUAGCAUUCUUUAUGUCCAUUAUGGUUAUUCUGUUAUUUAUAGCAUGAUGUAUGGUUCUGGAUUUUGAUCUUUGGCUGCCAUCAUUCUCGUAUCCCUUUGAAGUUAGUCUUCUAUUCUCUAGUUUAGUCAUCACAUAGGUUCUUUAUUCUCACUGCAUAUUCAAAGAACUUCAAAAUUUCUGCUUUUCACUACUUCAACCAUGAAUUUCUUUUUGUUUUUGUUUUUCUGGUCCAGCUAUCAAGUUCAGGAUCUACUUAUUUCCUAACACAGAUAAUGCAUAUGGGUACUUUUAUAAGAGUGUAAGGUUUUUGAUGUAUGUUUAUAAAGAUUUUUUCUUGAAAACCCAUUUUUUUUUACUUUCCCUUGUGUUCAGAGCUUUUUGGUACUGUUUGAGAUGCAGUAGAUGCAGUGAUCCAUGCUUAAAUAGUUGAAGCAUUUUUAAGUUACUUAGGAUAUGCUUGAGGUGUUUGUGUGGAGAUGUUGUAGCUCGAUUCAUGAUCAAUCCAGUUCUAUAUUGAGUUGUUUCAAAUGCACCUCUGCAUUAUGACAUGCAGACGUUUAUUGUAGCUCAGGACUUUGUCUUUUGCCUAAAUCCAUGUUCUUUUAUGUACUGGCCUGUAGUCAUGGAAUCUGUUAUUUGAUGUGUCUUUUUUUUUUUCCCCAAAUGUUGCAGAAGAACUUGCUAUCUGCUGCAGAAUCAGUAACUAAUGUGAUUAAAGAGGUCGAGCUUCUUGAGGAAAGGGCCAAACAGGCUAAAAAAGAAGCUUCCAAUGCUGGUAAGGGUAUUUCGGAGAAGGCCAACGAACUCAAGCAGACGUUGAAGCAUGCAAAGGAAGCAAAUGAGAUGGUUGUGUACUUUGCCUUACUUUCCUUUUGGGCUCUUUAUUUGCUAGAAGGAUAUUUUGACCUUCUGUUAGUACUUGCAGCGUGCGGCUGAGAUUUAUGGUGAGAAAUCUAUAUUAGCAACUGAAGCUCGGGAGCUUCUGUCUCGGCUUGCUAGUUUGUCAGAUGAAAGGAACAAAUCUCUUACUAUCAUUGAGGAGGUACGCUUUAGACUUGUUUUGUAAUGUCAUUAAUGCGGAACCAUAUUCAAAGAGGGUUUGGUCUGAGUCAUCUUUUAUUUAUUUGAGUCAAUUUUUGCAUUAAGGUUGAUUGAGUUGUCUUGAUUUAUUCUUUUAUAAUUUUCGGAAUUAUUCUGUUUGUUAAUUUAUUUUAGUCAUUUUUUUCAAAGAUUUUUAGGAUUCAUCAUGUGAAAUAAAUCCCUACAAAUUAGGAAUAUGGUUUAGGUUUUUUUUUGAUAUUUUUGAAUUAGGAAAAGAUCUCUAAAUUCGUGGGAUUGCUUUAGAUUAAGAUUAUACUUUGAAGGUUAUAAAUAUAGUCUAUGCCUUGUAAUUUCGAGAAGUGUUAUGAUGGAAUAAAAUUUGGGUUCUGCAUUUUGACAGCAGUCAUGAUAUCUUUUUCCCCUCCCCUUCCCUGCCGUGUGCAUGGCAAAAUUUUCUUCCUAAAAGGUUCUAUCUUAUCUUUCCUCCCUCAUCAUUCCUGUUCUGUCUUCUCUAUUCUCUCUCAACUUUCCUUCCGAGUCUUCUAAAUUGUUUUUUCUAAUUUUCUGAAAAUUUCUGCAUUUCAGUCUUAAUAUAGAUUUUUGGCUCAUCAGUAGCAAGAUAGAUUUGGAUUUUUCUAAUUUGUCCUGCAUCUGUCUGCUUGCUGAAGUUUUUGUUGUGCAAAGCAAGCACAUUUUCUUCUAAUUGAAAAUUAGAAAUCUAACUUAUUUGCAUAUAGGCUUCAAAACAAAUUAGGAUGUCCAUAAUACUUGUGUUAAAUUUGUAUUGACUCUACACCUAUCCUUUUCUUCUUAGAAUGUGGUGAAGUGGAGGUAGGUAUCUCUCAUUCGAAGAAAAAAACCUGAAUAUACAUCAUUGUUUAAACUUUUUUUUCACUGUUAUAGUAUGGCUGUAAGCAUCUUGCAGGUUUGAUAAUGAUGUAUCCCCCUCCCACCAGUAUGUUACUGUUUAAUGAAGCUAGUUAAAAAAAAAGAUGUAAGUGUAGAAAGCCGCCAAGAAAAUAUAGCAAUUGGCAAAUUGUCCCCCUAAAAUGCAAACAUCCUUAUUUAAACCCCCUCAAUGUUUAGACUCGUAACACUUGAGACCGUCCCUUCACCUUUUCCAACUAGGAAUUGCUAGAAAUUAUUGUUAUGUGAUCGGAAUCCCCAUUAUACCUAUUUUAAAAAUUUCUACCUUUAGUAUUUUCUAGUAGUUCCUAAAUGGAAGAUGUAGCAGAAGAGAUGUACUAAUAGCCUGAAUAUUAAGGGGUAAAAUGUGUUUUCUACUUUCUACAGGAUAUAAUACAAAUUGCGAUAGUGUCAGGAGUAUUUAUUUUAGCCUUACAAAAAAUUAAAAAAUAUGCAAUUAAGUCAUGCAAAAAAGUGGCGGCUGCUUGAAAUUUGAAAAAAAUAAAGUGCCCGUAAGAAAGAGAAUAUAAUUGGACUGAAUUUCAAUGAUCAUAAUUGACAUUGUUUUCAUAGGAUGUCCAGGAUAAAGAGAGUGGAAAAGAGAUAUGUUUAGGUGAAAGAGCAACUGUACCACCUCGUUUGCUCAAUGAUCAUCUGAAAUUACUGUAAUAAUGUCAAGUAAAAUAUUCGAAAAUAUGUACAAGGAUUUUGUGUUGAAAGUUGUAGAAGUAGCCACAAUAACCAACAUAUAUUCUUGGGGAAAAUAUAGUUACUUGACUAGUAGACAUGGCACUAACAAUACUGAUCUGUUAUACUUGAAGGUAGUUGGAUUGUUCUAUGUCCUAAAGUUGUUUGAGCUUACCAGUAGCAACACGCAUAUUGCAUUAGCUCCAUAGUUGUGUGAACUGUUGUGUGGACAUGCUAGAUCCAUAUCCGAGUGGAGCCUCCACUGGUGAACAUCCAAUUAGGGAUGAGAAAUUUUUGUCUAUGAUGUAAGCCAAUUUGGUAUUCCAUAUUGAACUCAAUCUAUCUAAUUGAGCCGUCAAUUGAAUUUGUAUUUGGUCUAACUGAUUGAAGCUAAGCUUAUGAACUCUAGUUGAGUUUCAAUAGUGUAAAAUUGGGCAAAUUUAGGGAUGCAGUUCAACUUUUGUACUCUUGCAAAUUAUGUUGCUUGAAUUUGGUUAAUUCUGAUUAGAUCUAUUUGUAACUUCAAUUAUUUAAGCAUUAAGUCCUGUUAUUAAAGUGUUAAGGAAUCCCUAAAAUUGGGGAUCCAUAUUCAGGUUUGUUGUUAGGAUUUUACUUUAACAAGGCUGUAUGUGGCGAGAGGUAAGCAGUUUUGGUAUCUAUUUGGUGAAAAUUUUGAAGUUUUGGAACCUGUAUCCCUGUUCCUUCUACGUCAAAGUCGAUCACUGCUCAUUAAUUUUGUUCCUGUUCCAUCUCCUCCUCCCUCCAUACUCUUUGCCUUAUCCAGCAUUACCACAAUCCUACUUUAAGCUCCACCAUACACCUGUUUCGUUACCACCAUGUUGUACCAUCAAGGCCCGCCUCACUAGUAUUUGCCUUACAAGAAACCACGGUGGCCACCCAACAGUUAAGACUGCAUGUUGCUACCAACAAACCAAUCCGUGUACCUUUCCUGUGGCAUAUCUUCAAUCCUGGAAGUCUUUCCUUAGAUCGGCGCCAUUCUACGGACAAAUUAACCAGUGCUCCAUAUGCUCUGUGAAGCCACACUUGCUCCUUACUGCACUGCUGCCUGCCUCUACCGUUGCACAGCCUUGUCUGUAUUGUAGCCUAUCUUCUACUGCUGAAUUCCUCCGGCAAGCUGGACUAUCUGACUAUUGCCUCCUAGGGCCUGUUUGGCCAAGCUGUGGAAAAAAGUGCUGUUGAAGAAGUGCAGUAGGAAAGAGUGUAGUGCUGUAGAAAAAAAGCUAUAUAGUGUUUGGCUGAUCCUAUUCAUAAGUAUUGUUUACUACAGAAAGCUGUUUUGCAAAAAUUUUAUUAAAUUACUAUGAAAUGUAAAAAGAAGGUAAAAAUACAUGCAGAUUCCUCAACAGCAAAUAGUUUAAAAUCCAUUCUUGAGCUCUUUUUUCUUUUUAUCCACAUUUCCUCAAAGAAGGAAAUAAAAUUUAUUUUUAAACUUUCACUUUUUGUUGUUAAAAAAAAAAACCUGAAAACAAGGGCCACAAGCAAUUCAAUGUCCACUAUUGUAUUUUUUAUACAAAAAAUAUUGUUUAAAAAGCAAAAAUUGACAAUAAUGCUAAACAAAGCCUUAGCUUUAUUUUUUUAAUUGAGUUUUAAGUUUGCUAAAGUUGAAAAGUUUUUUAAGUUUAAUGGCUCUUUUAUCAAUAAGCUAUUGCUUAGUUUAGUUUUAUUUGAAAAAAUUUUAGUAAUAUUAAAAAAAAUAUUGUGAAAGAGAGAGUAGGGGUGGAAACGAGCCGAGCUUGAGCAAGCUUACCUCAGCUCAAGCUUGGCUUGAAAUUAGUUUCAAGCCUAAAUUUAGGCUCAAGCUCAGCUUGAAAUUAAUUCGAGCCUAGCUCAAGCAAGCCUGACUUCGAGUCGAGCGAGCUCAAGCCCUAAAUGAGCCGCUUGAAAUUCUUAAUAUCAUGCAAUUUAUAGUUUAAAUUUUUAUAAAAUAUUAUCUAAAUUUUGAUACAAAAAUAUGUCUAAUAGUUCAAUAUACAAAAUAAAUACAUGAAUUACGGUAUUAUAAUAUUAAGAAAAAUAAUUUAGGGGAAACGACUCUAGGAACAAGUGAGAGAGAGAGAGAAAGAGAGAGCAAUUAGAGUAGGAUUUUGCUAGUCUGGUUUUGUGGGUCAACUAAUAUGCCCAAUAACCUAAUCUAUAUAUGCAUAUAAUUAAAAUACAUAAUAUAUAUUAUUAUAUAUAAUUAAAAUUUAAGUGUGUGUGUGUGUAUAUAUAUAUAUAUAUAUUCGAGCUUUUCGAGCCUAAUUCGAGCUACCGAGCUGAAUGCGAGUCGAACACAAGCCGGGUCGCUCACUUGCCAGCCCUAAGAGAGAGAGAGAGUGUGAUGGGGGGAGAGAGAACUCCCAUGCACAAUAGAGGAGAAAAGGACGUUUUCCCUUGAUAUCUAUGAAAAGUGCGGGACAAGGAAGAAUUUGUUUACGGGCAAUCUUGGUAUUUUGGAAAAGAUGUUAAUGGGGAAAGUUGCGGCGCACUUUUUCCUAUUGCGGCAGAAGCUCCAACCUGGGAGUUCCUGCGGUAAAGCUUCGUACUGCAAGCUUUUACUUUUCUUAUCGCACUACGAGAAUCCCAAAAGGGAUAUUAGGGUGAAACACUGUUUGGCCUAGCAAAAAGCUAGGGUGAAAAGCUAGGCCAAACAGGCACUUAAUUUGCUUCCUUCAGUCGAUCCCCACACCACCCUCUUUCCCAUUAAGUUGACACCAUUGGAGGGUUGUUAAGAGGCCUGACAAACCCUUGGACAAGAUCCCUUCUCUCCCUUCACUUGUUAUUCCAACAUCUAGUGGACCCCACCCUUUUAGCUUGCUUGUCUCAUUGUGGCAAAGCCGCAUAGCUGCUCUCCUUAGCCUCAAUCUCUCUUAACUUUUGCAACCGGACCCACCUUUUAUCGGAUUGAAGUUACUCUAGCAUUAAAUUCCCCCAAAUUGCUUGAAAUUCUGAAAAGCUUUCACCUUGAGCUUUGAUUAAAAUAUGUAGUUUCCUCCAAACCAUAUGUUGCAUCAUUUAGUUAAGAUUUGUCUUUAAUUAGUAUUAGGCCCUUCGUUGUCUUAAUGGGGGAUUAAACAAUCUUUCAAUUUUUUCUUUUUCAUCAGAUUGUGGAUGAAAUUCCAUAUUAUUUUUUUGGAUAAUUGGUGAUUCUUAAAGAUGGUCGGACUAGUAUUAAAUAGGAAUAUUGGUUAGAUAAUUGGCAAUUAUGUCCAACACAUGCUAAAAGUUGGGACUGUCAACCGGUGGUGAGUACCAAGCCCCAAUCACACAGGAGUUUCGUGAUUGCAAAAGAGUUUCAAUCAUUUAAAAUAAGGUGUCUGAGAGCCCCAAUCAUGUAAAUUAAGGUAUGAUCAGAAAGGCGAAUCAUUGCAUUCUCCAAAGGAAAACUUGCAAGUGAUUUGACAUUUGGAGGCAUGCUCUUCCCCUUUAUAUCUCUUCAGCCUUUCUUCUCUCUCAGUUUUCAUUCUGAAAAUAAGAAUCUACCAUAGAAACUCAUACUACUUCAGAGAUAUAUUUUCUUCAGUUAGCUAUGCUUAGAAAAUCAAUUCUAAUAGCCUCUAAACUGUGGUGGUUUGAAUUUUUCAAGGUGUUGGAGGGAAUAAAUAUCAUGUAUUUUAACUCAAAAGAAAAAAUGCAUGUUAAUAUAUAUGUAAAUUAAAUUCAGACUUUAUAAUAUCAAGAGAUUGUGGCUUCUAAGAAAACAUGGCUGUGUUAAUGCAUAUUGAGCAGCUUUUUCUUUGUGUUAAGGCACUAAACAGUGUUUAUUUUUAUCUAAUUUGAGAUGUCUGCUCCCACUUGCCAACCAUGUAAAGUAUUAGCCCUAUAAUCUUGUUGUACUAGGCAAUAAUCUUGUUGUACUAGGCAUUGGGGUUGAUUUGCUAUGAAUUUAUUGUGUCUUUUAGAUUAGCAAUUACAUAGUGGGUUGAGGUCGUAGUAUAUCGAGUUUCUUCCUUUUCUAGUAUUCAUUCUUGAAGCGUAUCAAUUUUCUCACCAGCUUGUUUCAGGAAAAAAAGGCGGAACAGUAGUUCCAGACUUGUACUGGGUUAUACCAGCUUAUUUCAGAGACUCGAGAACUACUGUUCCCGGGUAUGAAAAUUUACGUUUGGGAACGAAGGGGGGAACAAUGGCUUAUUCCCCCCUGCUCUCGAACGAAACACUGCCUUAGAAUACAUAGUUUGUUGGAGAUCUUUUGAAUUAUCCAAGUAGUGAGUUUAGUCUAUGCAUGUUUUGGCAUUAGCAAUCAUACCUAAUAGCUAACAGAAUAGAAGGAUUGUUUGAAAACAGAAAAUUUACUUGUUAGAAUCCUACUGAUUAUUGCAAAUUACAAUAACUACUAAUGGGCAAAAAUUGGCCUUUUCUGGCAGCCUUGGCCAAUUUGGUAGUCAUUUUGGAGUUAUGUUUCUGUCGUCUUUUCAUGCUAGCACCCCCUUGCUACAAACAUCAACAUGAGAUACUAUGAGGCUGAAGCAGGCAAUCUGAAACUCAAAAGAACCAAAGUAGAAUAAUUGGGAAUGUGGAACGGAAUAAUUCUGAACGACUAGCAUCCGAGGUGACCCACUCCUGGCACCUGAGGUGGUCCAUUAUAUUUCUUAAUCAGACCCAGUAGUGUUAUUUAUUGCAAUGAGAGUGGUAUUAUUGAGAUAUUGAUUAGUGAAAACUUCGCCUCAACGAACAUGUUUGACACUAACCUACAAUAUGUCGGUUAAAUAAUUUAAUUUACAAUCAUCAAGUAGAACAUUUGAUUAGCUGUCUAUUUGCUAAUAGAUGCACAUGGAAAACUAAAAAGCUAAAAGAGUAUAGUUUAGUUCAACGAUUUUCCAUUUGUAUCCUGGAGCUGAAAAUUACCUGCGGCGUGAUGAUUUACAGGUCCGUCAAACUCUUGAAGGGCGAUUAGCUGUUGCAAGUGAAGAGAUAGCAUCUGCCGAGAAGGAAAAGCUCGAAAAGGAAGCAUUGGCAUGCGAGGCGCUCCAGGAACAGGAAGUUCUGAUGAAUGCUUUAGUGGAAGAGUCGAAGAAACUGCAGCAAGAAGCAGAGGAGAACACCAAGGUACUUGUACUUCAUAAAUGCUUUGUAUGCAUGGAAUACAUAUAUAUAUAUAUCUAUUGACUGUUAGUAAAUGGAAUGAAUCAGUUAGCAUGCCUAAUAGUAUAAUGUUGAUUUGGUACAGCUGAGGGACUUUCUUAUGGAACGCGGUCGUUUGGUUGAUUCAUUACAGUAAGUUUUCAUGUUGACUUCGCUUAUUUGAUGUGCAAAUGGAUAUCCAGGCCUACUGUAUCAUCUUAUUUCUAAACUGAAUUUGUAGAUGCUGUCCUUCAUGCUAAAAUUUUUAUUCAAAGAUUGUCUUCUUUGCUUCAUAAAUUUUUUCUACACGGUUGGAUUCUCCAUUGGUUAUCUUUCUAAUGUUCUCUACAAGGUUCUUUGUAUUUUCUCUUCAUUCUUCUUCAGUCCUGGAUGGACUUUUGGAACUUAAUAUAUAGUAUUUUAAUUCUCUUCAUUCUCAGAGGUGAGAUAGCAGUGAUGUGUGAGGAUGUCUUAUUACUAAAAGAAAGAGUAGAUGGACGCGUGCCGCUGAGUAAAUCACUACAAUUGAUGGCAUCCUCUUUGUCAUCUUCAUCGAGCUCAUCUUUUCGCAAUAGUAGAUGCUCAUCAGAUGGCGUUGUCCUGCCUGCCAUAUCAGCCGACAAGCAGGUACGGAUCGAUGAAGAGAGAUCCGUUUCACAGAAGCUUAAUAUUAGUGAAGAAAUAGAACCUGCGAAAACUGAUGGCAGCAUUCGCCGGAGCACUUCUGAGGAUGGGUGGGAGCUUUGUGAAGAGGGCUGGCUGAAUGGGAAGCCCUGAAACGACAUAUGAGAAUAACUUGAGGAAAUCUUAACGUGUUGCGUUGGGAUAUUACGUAGGAUAGAUUUUGGGACACAUCUGCGUAGAAUACCAUAACACUGGGCCUUCAACAACAUCAGAGACUGGAAGUUAUUGCUGCGUAUUUAGUUGAGCAUAUUCAGCUGUAAAUAAGAUGUCGACACAGUAGUUGAUCAUUGUGUGACCAUAGCUUUCCAUGUUAUGCAUAGUUUAACUUUGCAUGUUAUGCAUAAAUUUGAUGUAAUAGUUUACAGUUUUACUAGAGAUUAUGCCGUACUAAAUUCAAGGUAGAGUGACGUUUCCGGUAGUGGUAUGCACAAACUAGCCCAGUUAUUCUCAGUUGUUGUCGUUUGUUAUCUUAUGCUGUUAUCUUUUUAAUCUUGGUGUGGGAGGAUCAAGGCAUAAAAGAGUUGUCAUCUUUUCCUCUUUAUAAAACUGUUCGUAUUAUCUAAACGGCUAUUUAUCUAAACUGCAAGUAAGCAUGAUUAUUAAUGUGCCGCUGAAUAGUUUUUACUGAUGUUCUUAUAUUUUCUGAAUUUGCUAGGCUCAGAAAAUUAUCCUUCAAAUUCUACAGGAGCAAGAUAAUAUAAAAACUUCCUCUAUCACCGUCACAAAAUGUUGCUCUCCCACCCAAGAAUGAUGCCUAGUGUUCUAUGUAUUUCAUGAUAGCGUUGUAGUCGCUGCAAUAGUUGUUGUGGUGUUCAGGAGCAAGUGAUUUUGUUAAUUAAAAUAGUGCUUGUGAUCUUGGAGAUGGAAGCAACUCCCGUACGUAAUUAAUUAUACAUGCUUCCAUAUCAAUGACGUAUAUUAUUAGUUCACUCAUGUUCUCAUAUGGUCUCAUUAAAUAAGCUGUUUUUAUUGUUAGCUGCGAACUGCUAGGCCAGGACUCUUGGCUUCAGCAGGUAAGAGCACGCGCAAAAGCAGUUGACCAAAGGGGAACGAACGGUGGGAGGUCAGGAAGAAAAAAGAAGAAGAAUUUACCUACUCGUAGAAUAUGAAAAUAUUCAUCCGCAGUCAUGGAGUUCAUCAAUCAGUCAUGGAGCUCUCCGAUUUCUUCCGUCCAUAGAAAAUGUUUAGAAUACAGCAGUCAUAUUACUGAUUUCCUAUCCUCAACCAACAAAUAUUAUUAAUAUUUUAAUGCUAUUCAUAAUAUUGAUAAUAUUUUAAUGCUCUAUCAGAAUUUUAUCUAAUUUAUAAACUUCUACACUGUUAAAUUUGCUAACGGCACACAUCAACUGUUAAAAAUUCUUGAUUUUGAAUUCUUUCGAUCAAUAGAUAAAUAAUAGCAAAAAUCCUCAAAAAUUAAUUUCUAAAUAGUUUAAAUAUGUUAGAUCAAAUCUAACGGAGCCGAUCGUCGAUUCGAAAGCUCUAUCAUCGAAAACGGUUUAGCAGCAUGAAGGGCUCCGUGCUCCUAAUUAGCACACAAGUCCUAAUAUAGAGUUGCUAUGUUAUCGGAAGUAUAAAAGAGUUGGUGCUUUUGACUUUUUGGUCCUUGGAUCAAGGAUUGUAUGGUUAGAAUGAUAGCGGUCCUCCUUACGGUUAAGUGGUCCCCUAGGGUUAAGUGGUCCCCAUUGGAUAAUAAUAUAAAUCCAAUAGUUAAAAUGAUUAGAAGGGUUAAUUAAUUAAGGGCCAAAAUAUCGAAAGCACUAUCUCACUUGUGCUUCCGAUAGCAUAAUUCUUUGUUUCAAAUAGUUGUAAGUUGCCAAUUGGAUAGCAGUCUAUUGUCAGUUUCUUCCUGCAGUUCUGUAGAAAAGAAAGAGCUGGUCAGUGGCUGUGGUAGUGUUGGGUGUUGACUCUGGAUUAAUGGCCACUAGCAUCACUUUGCAAUAUGUGUUACCAACGAGAAUUUAGUUGUUUUUGGCACUAGUAAUAAUGAGAUACUGGUGUACGGUCGUAACAACAUGGAUACGAUGGUAGUGAUAAACUAGCAACGGCUGGGAUACUAUCGAUAGCACCAAGCGUUUGGUGCUAUCAACUUCUCCGCCGUUAGAUUUAACUCUUUAACUAUUUUCAUCCGUUAGAUUAUAUUAUUAAAUUAAUAUUUACUCAACCCUAGGAGACCCACAUCAUCUUAAUCGUACAUUUUUUCAUCUAAGGGCCAAAACACCAAUAGCUUAGUGCUAUUGAUAAUAUUCCAGCCUAGGUCUAUAUAUAUAUAUAUNGGUAGGUCCUUAAUUGGAAAUGGAAAUCGACACGGUGUCGAGUUUAUUAUGAUCACUACUAGUCAGAAAGUAGUAGUAGGAUUACUUGGACUUAUUUCUAGCAUAGUUGUGGACAUUUGGGUAUUCAUACAUACAUGUAGUAUGCUAGGAGAUGUUGUUCAUUGCAUCCUUAUAUGCAUCGUAGUCAUGACCAAGUGUUACUUUCAUAUCUGUAUAAAGUAAAGCAUGACAUUACUUGUGAACAUAUGUACCCAUGACAAAAUAAAGUCGCAUUAGGAAUGCCAUGUUUAAUUGCAAGUUGUAGCUUAGCAUCCUAAUUAUCAUGCUUUUUAAUAUGCAAUUUACUCGUUACUCUUAUUAUUGGACUUACCCCUUUUCUUUUGGGGCCUAGUGGUGCGAUGAGCUGAUGUCAGUAAUUGCCCACUGGGAACUAUAAAUUAUAGUUCUCACGCCCUCUUUUUCUCGAUGUUUUUCAGAGCCUUCCACUCAGGGUGAGGCCAGGGAUCGCGGGAAGGGAGUUGCUUCGAGCUAGCUUCCUUCGAGGACGAGUUGCUAGGUGGUCUACCUCUCGAUUUUUGUUUCCUUUUGCGAGAGGUUGAGAGUUCUACCAGUGUAUUAGAGACCACCGUUUUUGUACUUUUGAGACAGAUAUUAUACUACUUAUGACUUCUUCUAUUGUCUAACUUUACUUCUUUACCUCGGUGUAGAUGUUAGAACUUUACUCGCUCUGAUAUCAUUAGCUGCUCAUUAUUUCACUUCUUCUAUUUGUUCUAUUACUUGCUUUUACUUCCGCUUUUAUUGUAGACGCCUUAUAUGUGUAGACAUAUGGCGGGUCUGGGCACGCUACCGGGAGGGCCUCCGCCGGUCCCGGGGCGUGACAUCUCAUGUCACAAACCCUAAUCCUCAUGCAUUCUAGAUUUAAGUGUCAAGUCCAUAAUGCAACACAAUUAGACAUGUAUGCAAGGAAAUAGAAAUGCAACUAUACAUACAUCCUAUAAUGCAUAAGAAUAAUAUAUAUGAUCAACCAUUCUAACUCGGACAUAGAAAGAAGCUCAGUUGCUUCGGGAUGGACACCGCCCACCUUUUAAUGCUACCAAGAGAUUAGGGUUCCGAUUUCGUAAUUUUUGGAGGCUUUCGCCGCGAGCUACGGCAAUUUGUACCGAAACAGGCCUUUUCUCCUAUAUCUUCGCGUAGCCUCGUCGUAUCGCCGAACAGACUUCGCCAACGCGUCAGAAUACCUAUCAAUUUGGUUUGUAUAGGUUCAAUUUAGAUCAAAACCCCUCACAAGCAAAACCCCUCUUUUAAUGCCCUAAGAUGUAACUAUACAAGAAUUCAUCAUUUGAUCUUUAAAUUCGAGCAUCGAUCAUCUAUUUAGCAUCUAGGAGCUUCACUAAAUCCAUUUCUAGGGCAUACGAAUCAUUCCUUAGCAAUUCACCAUUAGAGGUUCAUGAAGCUUACCUCAAACACAAUUUUCCACUUAGACCAAGGAAGGAGAAGAUGAAGAUGGCUUCAACUCCAAGCUACUUUAAUCUCUUCCAAACUUGCUUCACCACCAAGCAACUCCAAUUUUUCUCCUACAAUCCUCUCUUUGGUAGAGAGAAAGAGAGAUCAUAAAGACAAAGAGAGAAAGAAGGAAACUUAGUGUCUCUCUCUCUCUCGGUUUGGGACAAAAAGGCAAAGGGUUCACACAUAUAUAUAUGCCCCCAAAACACUAUUCACUUCAGUUUGUAGCUCAGGUACAGAUAUUUUUCGCCUGCCUUUCUGAAUGUCCGUUUGAGCUCAAAUUUGGCAGUCAUGCUCGGUUUUACUUAACUUAACGAAAAAUUUUUUAAUCUUUCAGUUUCGACCCCGUUUGGUCACCGAAAACUCUACUGAACUGUAAUCUCUAGCAGAUAGCAUUUUGAUUUUAUUUUCCACCUUCCGGGUGUCAGAAUGAGGUGAAACUUUAAUUCUAGCCUCACAAAAAUAAUUCUGACAUAUCCUCCAGUUUUCAUAAUUUUCUGACACUGUACAUUUUCUGCUAAUUUAUCUGCCCCGUCUCUCACAGAAAAUUCUAAAUCUUCUGUUUUCGCUUCGAUUUCAGCACAGGUCAUUUUCAACUUAUACUUUACAUCCUUAAGUCCAAUAAAAAUAGUAUCUCACACUAUUUCUAUUUAUAUUUAAUUUUAUAUUAAAAAUCCAGCAUACUACAUCCACCGUAACUUCAUAAUUUUAGAAGUUCGAUACCUUACAGUAGGUCUCAUAUAAACUGAUCGGAAUCAGUAUCCCAUCCGAUGUGGGACUAUUGGGGCCGUUACAAACUCCCCCUGUUUAGACCCUGACGUCCUCGUCGGGUCCAAACCAGAUCACAGACAGACAGAUCAGGACCAUUACCAGGGGAUGUGAGAUUCUAGAGGUGGCUCCUACGGGUUCAAGAGGUGGCUCCCACCAAACACGUUGGUGUAGCACUUUGUCCCGCAUAGCACUUAGUUCUUACACUUUCGGCUGGUAUUCGUCUAUGAUACCAAUUGCAACGACCCGACCCACCAGCAAUAAUAACUCGUUGGGCCCAAACCACCGGCCCAAAAUGCUUAAGCCCAGUUAUUAUUACUAACGUAUAGGCCUCAUAUAAACUGAUCGAAAUCAGUAUCCCAUCCGAUGUGGGACUAUUGGGGCCGUUACAAACUCCCCCUGUUUAGACCCUGACGUCCUCGUCGGGUCCAAACCAGAUCACAGACAGACAGAUCAGGACCAUUACCAGGGGAUGUGAGAUUCUAGAGGUGGCUCCUACGGGUUCAAGAGGUGGCUCCCACCAAACACGUUGGUGUAGCACUUUGUCCCGCAUAGCACUUAGUUCUUACACUUUCGGCUGGUAUUCGUCUAUGAUACCAAUUGCAACGACCCGACCCACCAGCAAUAAUAACUCGUUGGGCCCAAACCACCGGCCCAAAAUGCUUAAGCCCAGUUAUUAUUACUAACGUAUAGGCCUCAUAUAAACUGAUCGAAAUCAGUAUCCCAUCCGAUGUGGGACUAUUGGGGCCGUUACAAACUCCCCCUGUUUAGACCCUGACGUCCUCGUCGGGUCCAAACCAGAUCACAGACAGACAGACCAGGACCAUUACCAGACGAUGUGAGAUUUUAGAGGUGGCUCCUAUGGGUUCAAGAGGUGGCCCCCACCAAACCUGUUGGUGUAGCACUUUAUCCCGCAUAGCACUUAGUUCUCGCACUUCCGGCUGGUAUUCGUCUCUGAUACCAAUUGUAACGACCCGACCCGCUAAAAACAAUAACUCGUUGGGCCCAAACCACCGUCCCAAAAUGCUUAAGCCCGGUUAUUAUUACUAGCGUGUAGGUCUCAUAUAAAUUGAUCGGAAUCAGUAUCCCAUCUGAUGUGGGACUAUUGGGGGCGUUACAAACUCCCCCUGUUUAGACCCUGACGUCCUCAUNUAUAUAUAUAUAUAUAUAUAUAUAUAUAUAUAUAUAUAUAUAUAUAUAUAUAUAUAUAUAUAUAUAUAUAUAUAAAAGAUGAAGAAUUAUAUUGCCAACGAAUCAUAUACAAAAAAAUAAAUAUUUUCCUCACUUCAAAAUUGGAUCAUAUAGGAGGCAUUAUGGUUAUACAUCACUUUUAAUUGACAUUUUCUUCCGCAAGAGGAGCGAAUUAUUUUCAUUAUUUAAAUAUAUAUGAAUCGAGUGUACAUGGUAAUUGCUACAAAAUUGAAGACUAAGUUGUUAAACGUGUUCUACAGUAUGCAAAAGAAAAACUCUUUUAAUUUUCGUCAGGUAAGCUGUUUAAUUAGUUAAACAUGUUCUAUAGUAUGGAAAAAAAAAAUUCUAUAUAUCAGUUAAAUAUUACAUAUUAAAUAUUAGAUAUCUAUAUAUAAAUUAAAUAUUAUAAAAAGUAAGUCCAAAUUUUUAAAAAAUAAUAUAUAUGUUUGAAAUUUACAAAACUCCAUUGCACGGCGUCUGCAUUAAUUGUUCCCACGGAUUCAAAGGUGGGAGUCAAUAAAGUGAACCAAGCUGUAACGACCCGACCCGUUAGCAAUAAUAACUCGUUGGGUCCAAACCACCGGCUCAAAAUGCUUAAAUCCGGUUAUUAUUACUAGCGUGUAGGUGUCACGCCCCGCCUAGAGACCGCUACCAAUUUGGUCCGGUUCGGGCGCGCCAGACGGACGCCGAACGGACAGCACCUCCCCUGUCAGCCAAGGCUCAACACAGGAUCAUGUACAAAGAAUUUACCCAGGGAUAAUUCAAUACAUACACGAUCCAACAAGGAGAGAAGCACAAAGAGUGCAAAACAGCAAGAGCAAGUAACACAAGUAUACAUACAAGUGCAUAAAGAGAGAUACAUCUAGCUAUUACAUCACAUUCCACUUUUAGAUCUUUGAUUACAUUUACAUUUUCAUCAUCACCAAAAUGAAUACAUAUUCCACUCACAUGCAUCUAGGUACAAUGUACUCUUCAAAAUACAACCACGUCACCUAUGUACACGAGGGUACUCUAGUACAAAAGGAAAGCCACAACUAGCUAGCUAGGGCGCUAUGCCCAUACCGCGAUCCUCCCCCGGAAUGCUCGCAUUCGGCCUUGCAACAAGAUGGGGUGAGAACUAUAUAAAUAUAGUUCCCAGUGGGUUCGGCUGCCGACUCCGCCGAUCUUCCUACUAAGUCUAAGUUGGUACAGAUAGAUAUAUAUAGAAAUGAAACUGCGUCUAUACUAUACUAUGCCAUCAAAUGCAAGCAAUGCAUGGAAUAUCAUCUAGCAACAAGCCUACUAUCAUGCUAGUAUGCUUCAACAAUGUAAUGAAUACGAAUACAAUAUAGUUAUGCAAUCCACUAUCAUAUACUAUGUUUAACCAUGGGAUGAAUAGAAAUCCACUUAUGCUAUUCAUGUCAUUACCCCAUCCACUAGUGUCACGCCCGGUACCAGCGGAAGCAUAUCCGGCACGUGCACAGACCCGCCAUAUACCUGCAGUAUAUAAGGCGUCUACAAGAACACAAGUCGAUAGGAGGAAAGUAUAGUAAGAUCCUAUCCUGAUAUCAGAGCAAAAUACAAGUCGAUAUACUAUCAGUAAAGGAACAAAGAGUAUACAAUCCAAAAUCUCAGCAAAAAGGAGAAAGUAUCACAACUAUAGAGUCUAAUCUCAACAAUACAUAUACAUCGCAGGGUAUACAAAAGGAAUAAGUACANCUAGAUCAUAGAUAGAUAGAUAUAAAGAUACAAAUAGACAGACAGACCAUGACCAGAAUUACCAGGUGAUGUGAGAUUCUAGAGGUGGCUUCUACAGGUUCAAAAGGUGGCUCCUACCAAACCCGUUGGUGUAGCACUUUGUCCCGCAUAGCACUUAGUUCUCACACUUCCGGCUGGUAUUCGUCUCUGAUACCAAUUGCAACGAACCGACCUGCCAGCAAUAAUAACUCGUUGGGCCCAAACCACCGGCCCAAAAUGCUUAAGCCCAGUUAUUAUUACUAAAGUAUAGGCAUCAUAUAAACUGAUCGGAAUCAGUAUCCCAUCCGAUGUGGGACUAUUGGGGCGUUACACAAGCGGUCACCGAGAUCAAACGAACUGAAGGACUCUUAACAUUACGAAGUGCUAGCGCAAACUGGAACAGUCCCUAAAGGAGGAAAUCCUAAUCAGUCGUCCGAUUUUUUCUCCCUGGCCUGCUCCGCAGGGCUAGAAAGGAUCAAGAAGAGGGUAGCGGUUAUCGCAAGAUCAUAAAGGCAGUAGACUAUAUCUAGAGAUCACCGUCUCCGAGCUCGCACCUUCGUUUGCGGGGACGGAGCCCUCCUACCCUGCAGUAUUGGCAAGAUCCUUCCUACCUUAUGGGAAGCAAAAAAGGACGCAUGGCCCACUGUCCCGUCCUUCCUCCAAGAAGCACAAAAUUUUGAUAGCUGUGGUGGUGAUGCAGCUCCAAAUAGUGGGUGCAGGAGUGAACAAGGAGAGCGUAUAAAUCCCAAAGCUGCAACCUGCUUCGGGAAGAAGGUUUGACACGGAGAGAGCGUUUGAAGAAAGCACAAUCUUUGACAAGUGUUUUCGCUCAGAUGCCUAAUCAUCGACAUAGAAGACAUAGGAGCACUUAACCUCCCGGCUCAAGAGUCAAGCCAAUAGCCAUCACAUGGCCCGCCGAAGCAUAGGAAGAUGAAGUUAUUGCGGAAGUGUGUACAACACUUAUUUGCUUAAAAUCCUAGUACUUAUCUGUGUAAAAUAAUGCAACUUAACGUGCACUGCAUUGACUUUAAUACCAUGCAAAUGUAUUUUGCCUUUCCUUUUAUAGUUGUCAGAAGAUCCCUCAUCUCUGUUACAAUUUAAGUUAGAUUUGUAGUUGAAUCCUAGUUGGAUUAUGAUAAAUAUUCUAAUUUGUUGAAGAUAAGUUAAUUAAGAUUUAGAUACUAAUUAGAGUAUGAAUCUAAUUGGACUACGAUUUAGGUAGCUUUUGGUAUAAGAUAUAAAUAUAGUACAGGUGCUAUUGUUUUUUGGGUAGUGCUACGGCUUAGGCGCACUCGCAUGGCAUGGCCAAGGUGUCCAUGAUUUUGGAUACAGCUAGUGCAUGGGUGCAAAAGGACAUGUGCAGCUUUCGUUGUAAGGUAUCAAAUCCUCGUAUUAAUGAUCCGCUUUUGGCCAAAGUGACCAAAGUGUGGCAAGAUGAAUACUUGGACAUAUUCCAUUUGACAUUCCAAAGAUGUUGGAAGGGUCAAAGUUGAGUUCUAAAAGAGUUAAUUGAGUUUUAGCAUUGCUCGGCACGAAGAGGAGUCAAACAAGUGCUAAAACUGAAGUCUGGGCAUCUUGUACCGGUACAACAUCAGGGUGGUACCGGUACCUCGUAGCUAGCCGAGAGUAGCUGCUCUCGGGUUGGUUUCUGCGUAGCUGUUGAACCGGCGACAGAUUGCCCGCGUACCGGUACCAACUGCAGAAAACUGCAGGUUUGGUCUGUUGCAAUUGGGAGUUGUUUGAGGGGCUUUUAUGUAAUCGUGACAGCUUAUAAAAGGGUCCCACCUCCCUCUCAUCUGUUCUCAGCCAGAGAACACUUUCUCACCCCUUUUCUUUCUCUUUCUCUCUCUAGAAGCUCUCUAAAGGGUUGGAGCUAGAGGAGGGAUCGGUGGAGAUUGAAGCUGGAGAUUGAAUCUUCAUCUUCUUCAUCCUCUUCUUCGCUGUUGGAGUGCGUUUUUGAGGUGAGCUUCAAAGAGCUUUAAUGGUAGAUUUCUAGGGUUGGGUUUUUAUACCUUAGGAAUGUUUUUAUUGAACCCUUAGGUGCUAAGUAGGUGAUUAUUGCUUGAAUCGCGAAGUUAUACGUCGGAUUCUUGCAAUAAUUCCGACUUAGGGUUCUAAAAUGGGUUUUAUAAAGUAGAGAUCCAAGGUUGGGAUUGAUCUCUUUUGUACCUAUUUGCUAUGUAGUUUGACGGGCUGGUGAAGACGGUUCGGUGAUCCGUCGAGCCUGCGCAAAGAUAUUGGCAAAAAGGGCGUUUCAGCUUCAUUUUCGCCUGGAGGGCCGAGGCGACGUCCUAAAAUAGCGAAAUUUGAACCCUCGCGUCUUGACAUCACCCAAAGGUGGGGGGUGUCAUCUCGAAGCAGUUGGGCUUCCUUUUAUGUCUAAGUCAUAUUGUCGAUCAUAUUUCAUAUGUUGUACUUAUGCAUUAUAGGAUGUUGUAUAGUUGCAUUUCUAUCUCUUCGCACGUUCCUUAGUAGUGUAGCAUUGUGAGCUUGACACCAGAAUCUAGGGUGCAUGAGGAUUAGAUUUGGUGACAUGAAAUCCUAUAGUGGCAAGAUAGGUGACAACUUGAACUUGAGACAAUAGUUGACAUGGAAUUAGUGUAGUAGAGGCACUAUAACAUGAACGAGUGGCAUAUAAACAACUUAGAACACUUACAAUAAAUGAUUUGAACGAGUGGCAUCGAAUCUAGUAUAGUGACACAUUAUGAUAUGAUUCUAGGGAUAGUAGAGUUUCCGAUUGUUGUAUUGUGCAUUUGGAAUCAGUGUGGUAAAAGCACUAUGACCCCUUGUAGAUAGGGUAUCCUCGAGUUGUGAGGAUUGUAUCAUACUCACUAGUUUGUUUACACUUGACGUGGUCGCUCCACCCAAGUAGUGGUCUCCGGAGUACUUCACGAUAGGGGCAGACGUAGUUGUCCCGCAGACGGUCUCUGUCACGCCCCGCUCCCCGCCAAUUUGGUCGGAUUCUGGUCACGUCAACAGACGUCGAACGGAUAGGGCCUUCCCUGCCCGCCCAAGACUCUAACAACAAGUAUAAUUAAGCAAUCAAUAUGGAGAUUUGCAAUUAUAUAAGGCUUGCACGAGGGCAAGCAACAACGGAAGCGAAAGCUCUAAGUUACAACAUACAACCAUACAUAAUAUUUGAUUACAUUUAAACCAAAUACUAGUAACUAAAACUAUUACAUCCAUUUUCAUUUCAUUCACAAUUCUUUUACAUCUUAAUCAUUCUCCCCAAAAAUACUUGAUUGUUUACAACUUUUACAUCACUUGAUCAACAAAAUGAAAGUUGAUACAUGAACCAAAAGGGGAAUGACUAAAUGCAUAUACUCCGGUGGCCACUAGCUAUGGCGCAAUACCCUUGCCUCGAUCCUCCGCCGCCCCGCUCGCACUCGGAUUUAUAGGGUUAGUGAUGUGAAAACUACAACAAAGUUCCCAGUGGGUUCAGCAACCGACCCCGUCGACUUACCUACUAGGUCUAUUUAAGCAUAAGUAUUUCAAAGAAAGGAAACAGUAACCAAUCCUAAUGCUAAUACUAUGCCUGCAAGAAAACCGUCAGUAGAUAUAUAAUCAAAUAAGAAUGAUUAUGCAUGCCUGCUUUUCCAUGAUUUCGCUUUGGCUUUUACCUAAUCUUACCGGUUAACCUUGUUAACCCUAAUAACUCACAACCCAAAAUUCCUUAAUAACGGGGGACUCGAACCUCCCUGGGGACCGUCUUUGGGGACCUCGCUCCCCGUGGUGACUAUUUCGGAACGCACCGCUUGAGGGGGAGCUACCUCCCUCAAGCCAAGACUUAUCUGAGUAUCGAUCUAAUCCUCAACUUGAGGACAUAUAGCCACUAGCCACAAUGCCACUUUAACAAUGAUAGGUCUCUACCUUAUCAUGCUUGCCACUCUCUAGGCUACUCUUGCCAUAAUGUCACUAUUGUUUAAACUAGGUUUAACAAUGUGUAUCUCGAUACCAAUCUUGUCUCUAUUGUUAAUAUCACCUUUGUUUACUAUUAUCUUAGUCCAGGUCUCACAUUCACACAAGUAUAGGAUUCCAACAUACAUGUCCACUAUGGUUAUAUCAAUCUCAAUGUUCAUCUAUGUUAGAAGCAUAUAAUUGAAGUUCAACCAAUAUUCACAUGUAAUUUACCCUAUCAUGCAUGAAUGACUAUUGAUAUAAUGCUCAAUAAAAAGGUGAAAUAGAUAUAGAAGGGAAUCCAACGAUUCCGGAAUGCACCCCCCACCUCGAAUAGUAGCGAAGAAGUUGGGGUUUGAUUCUCGGGAUUUUUAUAAACCUAUCCCACGUGCUACGACGAUCUGUACCAAAUUUUGAGCCAAAUUAGGCUUUUUACUAAGAACCAUCACAUAGUCUUUUCGUUUGGCCGAACCGAGCAUACGAACGCGUCGAAAAUACCCCUAAUUAGGUUUCCAUAAGGUCAAUUUACCUCGAAAACAAUCGGAGGCAAAAGUCCCAAAUUUCAUACCCUAACAAUGUCAUAUAUGGUUUUCUCCUAAAUUGAUCUUGUAACUAAGCAAAUACUAGCUUAGAAUCAUCUAGGAAGCUCUCUAAUACCAUUUCUAAGCCAUUCAAAUCAUUCCUAGGGCAUCUACUAUGAACCCUAGGUGACUACCAUGAGAGCACCUUAAGAAAACCAUGGAUUUCAUGUAUUCAAGGUCUCAACUAAGCUUCUAAACACGAGAGAAGGUCAAAACUCUAAGCUUUAGGGUGGAAACCCAAACCCUAGAAUUGUUCUUGCAUAAACUCACCUUAGCCCUAAGCUCCUCCCAAGUUCCACCUUGUUGGAGAGCUUCUAAAGCCUUCUAGACCUCUAAAAUAUCUCCUCCAAGCCUUCCAAGCCUUCUCCUCCUUGCUCUAGGGCAAGAUCUCUAGAGAGAGAAAGAGAGAAAUGAGAGGGGAGAGAGGGUUUGCUGUGUAAACAGGGAGAAAGGGGUGCGUUGGGUCAUUUAUAGGUUACAACAAUAGCAACCAAGCCCCUCAAAAACUCUUAUUUGCAACAGACCUUAUUGUUGCUUCCAGACCAAAGUGUACCGGUACACUUUAUCCUGUCACCGGUAACACGAUCGCGCAGAGGCAAACCCUAGAGCAACCUUCUAUUGGUCAGCCGUUUUGUACCGGUACAACAUUGAUGUUGUACCGGUACACUUUGCCCAGAAUGCAGUUUUUCGCAUUGUUUCGAUUCUACUUCGCACCGAACAACGCUAAAACCUUUCCAACUCUUUUAAACUCAUCUUUAACCUUUCCAACACUGUUGGAAUGCUAAAUGAAACUUGUCCAACUAUUUCUCUCGACAACUUUAACCAAUUUGGGUAAAGUUCGAUAAUCGCUCUUGAGGUUUCAAUAUGUUACAUUCUCUAUCCCUUAAAAUUAGUUUCGUCCGCGAAACUACUUAAUUGAAAUCUAGAUCCGUACCUCAAUUCAAUUUUUCAAAAAGAUGAGGAUGAUACUCUUUCAUCACGUCCUCAAGCUCCCAAGUAUCUUCCCGAUCGUCGUGGUUGCUCCAAUGGAUUUUAACAUACGAAAUUUCACGGUUCCGUAAUUUUCUCACUUCUCGAUCGACGAUGAAUGCCGGGAACUCCUCGUAAGUCAUAUCCCCUUGAAGCUCCAUCGACACAUAUGAGAGAAUAUGCUCCAGAUUAUGAACAUACUUGCGGAGAUUGGAUACCUGAAAUACAUCGUGCACUCCCGCGAGUCUCGAUGGUAAUGCUACUUUGUAAGCCAUCGCGCUGACUCGUUCCAAAACCUCAAAUGGUCCGACAUACCGGGGACUUAGCUUCCCCCGGACACCGAACCGUUUAACUCCACGCAUCGACGAUACCUUUAGAAAUACACGAUCUCCAACCGCGAACUCUAUAUCCUUUCUUCGCUUGUCGGCAUAACUCUUGUGCCAAGACUGCACCGUCGCAAGUCUUUGUAGGGCAAGACGAAUUUUCUCUUCCACCUCCCGAACCACCUCGGAGCCAGGAGCAAUUCUCUUGCCCACAUCGCUCCAAUGAAUUGGCGAGCGACAUUUCUUUCCAUAAAGGGCCUCGAAUGGCGUCAUCGCGAUGCUUUCCUGACAGCUAUUAUUAUACGCGAAUUCCGCCAUUGGUAAUGAUCGUGCCAUCCGCCCUUGUAGUCAAGUACAUAUGCUCGAAGCAUAUCCUCAGGUAUUUGAAUAGUCCUCUCCGAUUGACCGUCACUUUGAGGAUGAAAUACCGUACUAAAGUCGAGCCGUGUGCCUAAAGCAUCUUGUAAGCUCCUCCAAAAAUGUGAUGUGAACCUCGGGUCACGAUCCGAUACAAUUGACAUCGGAACCCCGUGAAGUCUCACAACCUCGUCGAGAUAUACUUGAGCUAGCUUGUCUCCCGACCAAGUAGUGUGGAUCGACAAAAAGUAUGCCGAUUUUGUCAACCAGUCCACAACUACCCAAAUCGCAUCAUAUCCACCUUGGGAUCUAGGCAAACCGGUCACAAAACCCAUUGUGAUAUUUUUCCAUUUCCAAACGGGUAUUGAUAGGCUUUGCAACUUCCCCGCCGGAAAUCGUCGUUCUGCCUUUACUUGUUGGCACGUGAGACAUUGUGCCACGAACUCCCCUAUGUCCUUUUUCAUGCCCGGCCAUCAAUAAUGUAGCUUCAAAUCUUGAUACAUUUUAGUGCCACCCGGGUGAAUGCUAUAGGGAGAUUGAUGCGCUUCAUGCAUAGUCGCCCUCCGAAGAUCAUCGUCCUUGGGUACACACCAACGAUUUCUGAAUCGUAGUGCGCCAUCGGUCCUAAUGCCAAAUUCAUCGGCACUCCCGCUCUCAACUUUACCCCGCACCUUUUGGAGAUAUUCAUCGGAACCUUGUAAUUAUUUAAUUUUCUCCAAUAAGGUUGGUUGCACAAUCAAUGUGGCGAGUGUUGCCGGCACUCCCGGCGCAACAACCUCAAGGCCAAACCGUUGCAUCUCCUUUUGCAAUGACGGUUGGGGUGUAAUUGCCGUCGCCAAAUUCUCCGCCGACUUUCUACUUAGAGCAUCGGCCACGACAUUAGCCUUCCCGAGGUGGUAUAGAAUAGUGACAUCAUAGUUCUUUAGCAACUCCAACCACCGCCGCUGUCGCAUAUUUAACACCUUCUGGGUGAACAAGUAUUUGAGACUCUUAUGGUUGGUGUAGAUCUCAUAAUGCUUACCGUACAAGUAAUGCCUCCACAACUUUAGCGCGAAGAUAACCGCCGCUAGCUCAAGGUUGUGAAUCGGGUAGUUCUUUUCAUAACUCUUCAAUUGGCGCGAACUCGGCCAUUUUGCAUCAAAAGACACCGAAGACCGAUAUAAGAAGCAUCACUGUACACUACAUAGCUCUCCCCCGGCGUCGGCAAGGCAAGCACCGGGGUCGAUGUCAACCUUUCCUUUAGCUCCUUGAAGCUCCGCUCACAUUCGGGGCUCCAAAUAUACUUCACCCCUUUGCGGGUAAGGCGCGUUAGUGGAGUAGUUAUUUUGGCAAACCCCUCCACGAACCGCCGGUAGUAGCUCGCAAGUCCAAGAAAGCUACGAAUUUUCAUUACACUUGUCGGGCGAGGCCAAUCUUUAAUUACCUCAACUUUCUUUGGGUCAAUCGAGAUGCCGUCACCGAAUAUAACGUGAUCCAAGAAAGUAACCUCCGAAAGCCAAAAUUCACAUUUCUUUAAUUUUGCAUAUAACUUUUCUUUUCGGAGUAUCUCCAACACGAUCCUCAAAUGCUCCUCGUGUUCUUUCUCGAUCCGAGAAUAUACCAAUACGUCGUCAAUGAAUACCACGACGCACUGGUCCAAUAAUGGUCGAAAGACCCGAUUCAUCAAGUCCAUAAAUGCUGCCGGGGCAUUAGUAAGCCCAAACGGCAUGACCGUGAACUCGUAGUGGCCAUACCGCGUACGGUACGCAGUUUUGUGCACAUCCUUAGGCUGUAUCUUCAACUAAUGAUACCCCGAUUGAAGAUCAAUUUUUUAAUAUACCCUUGACCCUUACAACUGAUCGAAUAAAUCGUCAAUCCUCGGCAACGGGUACUUGUUCUUGAUCGUCACCUUGUUCAACUCGCGAUAAUCAACGCAAAGUCGAAGCAUGCCAUCCUUUUUCUUUACAAAUAGCAUCGGAGCUCCCCACGGAGACACGCUCGGCCAUACAAAGUCUUUAUCGAGCAAGUUUUGUAAUUGAGCCUUCAACUCUUUAAGUUCCACCGGUGCCAUUCUAUACGGAGCCUUCGAAAUUGGCGCCACCCCGUGAAUCAAAUCAAUGACGAACUCGACUUCCCGGUUCGGUGGCAAUCCUGAUAACUCCGCCGGAAGCACAUCCGAAAAUUCGCACACCACUCGAAUGCUCCCCAAAUCUGGGUGCUCUUUUUGAGUAUCCACCAUUGUCGCCAAAUAGGCCACACAACCUCCUUUAAUCAUUUUUCUCGCCCUCGCCGCUGAGAUGGUCGCCGCGAAGCGCCUGCUUUUACACGCCCGGUAUACUAACUCGUCUUGAUUUGGCUCACGAAAUGUGAUCACCUUGCUUUUGCAAUCGAUAAUCGCGUAGUACUUGGAGAGCCAAUUGAUCUCCAAGAUGACAUCAAAGUCCUACAUUUGGUUUAGCACUAAUAGGUCUAUUGGCAUAAUCCAAUCACCGAUCUGUACUGGACAAGCCAAGCACUCGUCAUGAAUACGGAAUGAAUGCUCCGGUGUACUUACUAACCAAUAAUCCUCGUUAUGCGUGGUCUCUAUGUCAUGAAUUUUCGCAAAUGAUGCACCAAUGAAUGAAUGAGAUGCACCUGUGUCAAAUAAUGCUCUAGCUCUAGUGCCUCUUAUAAGGAUAAUACCUGCCACCACGUCAUCUGGUACCGCCGGCUGCUCCUCCACCUAAGUGGCAAAAACCCGCCUACUAGGUGCUCGAGGGGCCUCCGGCUGACGAAGCGCUGAUGAGCGUCCAGCAGACACAGCGGGUGGCAGUCCCGCCAGCUGUCGCGGAGUAUACUGGACUGAAGCUGACGAUGGAGUAGGUGAUGCACCGCCCGGGCACUCCCGACCUAAAUGACCCGGUUGGCCGCAUCGGUAACACCGCCUCUCCCGCUGAGUGCAAGCAGUAACCCUGUGGUCCCCGCCGCAAAUCACGCACGGGUAGGAAGUCUGGCUCUGUGUCUGACUCCUGCCUCUCCGCUAUUGUGAUGGCUGAGGUCGAGGGGGUCGCUUAGAACUCGACUGCCCCUUGGAUCUACUAGCCCUUUUCUUGGACUUAUCCCUUUUCUUGUCCUUCUCGAAUGCUUCGCACUCCUCUCGCGCGAUAGCAUUGCCGCGCUCUACCCAAAGAGCGCGAUCAAGUACCUCCUUAUAGGUCUUCAAGCGGAACGCAUGAAUAACCUUGAAUAUUUCGGGUCGCAACCCGCGCUCAAAAGCCUCUGCUCGGUCCCUAUCGCUGUGAACCAAGCUUGGCACGCAAUUGACUAGGUGCGUGAACUUCUUCUCGUACUCCCGCACCGACCGGCUCCCUUGCCUUAGCUUGCGAAAAUCCUCCUUGAUUUUCUGCUUAUCACUCUCGGAAAAAUACUCCAUCAAUAGCAUCUCCCGAAACGCCUCCCAAGUGAUGGAAGCGAGAUUCAACGAGUGACUCUUUUUCGCUUGAGUCCACCACAAUCGAGCCGACCUUUCAAAACAGUGAGCUGCUAGGUGAACUUUAUCCUUCUUGAGGGUGUAGAUGUCCUCGAACAACGCUUCCAUCUUGGCCAACCACGACUCCACCAACCACGGAUCCUUCACAUCGCCGUUGAAGGUCGGAGGGUUGAAUCGCUUGAAGGCCGUCAACACCGCCAAUGAUCGCUCAUUCUCGGCCUCAAGGACAUCGGGAAUAGGAGCCAAUGAACCCGAUGCCGUCGGGGGAAUAACCGUCACCGGUGCUGCCGCCGUCACUGGAGGUGGUGCCGCCGGUGCAGGCGAAUCUUGAGGUACAGGUGCAGCCGCCGCCGCCUGUUGAGCCACCAACUCAUGGAGCCGUCCAAUCUACUCCCCCUGUUGCCGCAUAGCCCCGGCCAAAUCCGCUACUUGGGUCCGCAGCUCGCGUACUUCAUCCGACCCCGUCUGCUUGGGCACCUCAGGAGGCAGUGCUAGCGCAGAUCGCGUACUAGGGCGUCCUCUUGGUGCCAUCACGCCCUGAAACGUAGCACAUAUAUUAGUGGUCGACACACUUGACACUUACACGUUCCAAUUAACUACCCAAUUAAGCGAAAACAAUCAAGUGUAAUUAUUCCCAACCCUUGGCAUUAUGUGGUCGGCCGCCCCACACAAUCCCUUAAGCAGAAAAUAAUUAAACACUUGAAUCCGUUCCAAUAAGGUCGGUCGAACCAAUAAGGUCGGUCGAACCACUAGUGCCGCCAAGAUAGUCGGAAUCUCCAGCGCCACCCUUUCCAAUCCAAACCGUUGCAUCUCUCUAUGCAAUGACGGUUGAUUAGUAAUCGCCGUAGCCAAGUUCUCAACAGAUUUCCUACUUAGCGCAUCGGCAACGACAUUAGCUUUCCCGGGGUGGUAUAGAAUAGUAAAGUCAUAAUCCUUCAACAGCUCCAACCACCGCCGCUGCCGCAUGUUUAACUCUUUCUGGGUGAACAAAUACUUGAGGCUCUUGUAAUCGGUAUAUACCUCACAAUCCUCACCAUAAAGAUAAUGCCUCCAUAGCUUUAGCGCGAAAAUGACCGCCGCUAACUCAAGAUCAUGUAUCGAGUAGUUCUUCAAAUAGCUUUUCAACUGGCGCGAAGCAUACGCAAUGACUCGCCCAUUCUGCAUAAGAACACACCCGAGACCACUAUAGGAAGCAUCACUAUACACCACGAAGCCCGCUCCCGACGUUGGCAACGCAAGUACUGGGGUAGACGUCAACUUCUCCUUCAACUCUUGGAAGCUUUGGUCGCAACCGUCGCUCCAUACAAACCUCACUCCCUUAUGCGUAAGACGUGUGAGAGGAGUAGUCAACUUCGUAAACCCCUCCACAAAACGCCGAUAGUAGCCCGCCAAUCCGAUGAAACUGCGGACUUUCGCCACACUCGUCAGAUGAGGCCAAUCUCUAAUCACAUCUUUAUUGGAUCCACCGAGACUCCGCUCUCAGAAAUCACAUGGCCUAAGAAGGUUACCUCCGAAAGCCAAAACUUACACUUCUUCAAUUUAGCAUAAAGCUUCUCGUCCCGGAGUAUUUGCAACACGGUUCUUAGAUGUUCCUCGUGCUCUUCUUCACUCCGCAAGUACACCAAUACGUCGUCGAAAAACACUACGACGCACUUGUCCAAUAGCGGUCGAAAGACCCGAUUUAUUAGGUCCAUGAAUGCUGCCGGGGCAUUCGUAAGCCCAAACGAUAUUACCGUAAACUCAUAGUGGCCGUACCACGUACGAUAAGUUGUUUUAUGCACAUCUUUCGGCCGGAUCUUCAACUGGUGAUAUCCUAACUGAAGGUCUAUCUUCGAAUAUACUCGCGACCCCUGCAACUGAUCAAACAGGUCAUCUAUUCUCGGUAACGGGUAUUUGUCCUUGAUCGUUACUUUAUUCAACUCGUGAUAAUCAACGCAGAGUCGAAGUGUACCGUCCUUCUUCUUCACAAACAGCACUGGAGCUCCCCAUGGUGACACGCUCGACCUCACAAAGCCUUUGUCGAGCAACUGGGCCUUUAACUCUUUAAGCUCCGCCGGUGCCAUUCUAUAUGGAGCCUUCGAGAUUGGCACCGCCCCGAGAAUCAAGUCAAUGACGAACUCGAUCUCCCGAUCCGGUGGCAAUCUCGGUAACUCCGCCGGAAACACGUUUGAAAAUUCACAUGCAACUCGGAUAUCUCCAAGUUCCAGAUGCUCCUUCUGAGCCUCUAUCAUUGUCGCCAAAUAGGCCACACAUCCGCCUUUGAUCAUCUUCCUCGCCCUCGCCGCCGACACAGUCGCCGCGAAACACGAGCUUGUGCACGCUUGGUACACCAACUCCUCUUGACUAGGCUCACGAAAAGUGAUCACCUUACUGUCGCAGUCAAUGCUGGCAUAGUACUUGGAGAGCCAAUUAACUCCCAAGAUGACAUCAAAUCCCCACAUCUGUUUCAACACUAGCAAUUUCGCCGGCAUAAUCCAUUCGCCGAUCUGACUGGACAAGCUAAGCAGUCCUUGUAAACUCUAAACGAAUGUUCUGGUGUGUUAACCCACCAAUAAUCAUGGUUAUGCACUAUUUCCAUGCCAUGAGUCUUAGCAAACGAUGCGCUAAUAAAUGAAUGUGAUGCCCCCGUGUCAAACAAUGCUCUUGCUCUAAUGCCACUAAUCAGAAAAAUACCUGCCACGACGUCGUCGAGUACGAUAGGCCGCUUCUCCACCUGAGUGGCGAAAACCCGUCCAGUCGGUGCACGUGAUCCUUCCGGCUAUCGCCGUGUUGAUGCGCGCCCAGCCGACAUAGCAGGUGGCAGUCCUGCAAGCUGUCGUGGAGCAUACUGAGUCGAAGCAGCUGACGGGGCAGGUGAUGCGCCGCCCGGGCAAUCCCAACUCAUGUGUCCCGCUUGGCCGCAUCGGAAACACCUCCCUUCACACUGAGAACAAUCAUUUGGCUUGUGAUUUUCGCCGCAGAUCACGCACGGGAAGGAAGUCAUCUAACUCCUUGACUAGCCUCUGCCUCCCCGCCACUGCGGUCCUGGGUACCGAGGGGGUCGCUUAGAACUCGACUGCCCCGCGGAACCACCAGCCGGUCGCUUCUUGGACUUCUCCUUGUCCUUCUCAAACGCCUCGCGUUCCCAACGCGCAAUGGUGUUGCCGCGCUCUACCCACAGCGCGCGAUCCAAUACAUCCUCGUCGGUCUUCAGCCGAAGCGCAUGAAUAAUCUUGAAUAUUUUCCGCCGCAAUCCGCGCUCGAAGACUUCCGCUCGGUCCCAGUCUCCAUGAACCAAGCCCGAAACACAAUCAACUAUGUGCAAGAACUCCCUUUCAUACUCCCGUACCGAUCGGUUUCCUUGCCUUAACUUGUGAAAGUCCUCCUUGAUCUUCCGCUUGUCGCUUUCUGGGAAGUACUCCGUAAGCAACAACUCCCGAAAUGCCUCCCAAGUCAUGGAAGCAGGAUCCAAAGAUUAAGUUCGUUCUUUACUCAUGUCCACCAUGCUCGAGCCGACCCCUCUAAACAAUGAGCCGCCAGGCAUACUUUAUUCUUCUUGAGGGUGUAGAUAUCCUCGAACAAUGCCUCCAUCGCUGAAAGCCACGCCUUCAUUAACCAAGGGUCCUUCACAUCACACUGGAACGUCGGAGGGUUAAACCGUUUAAAGGCCGUCAACAUCGCCAACAACCGCUCCUGCUCGACCUCAAGUACCUCCGGGAUAGGAGCGGAAGAUCCCGAAGCCGUCGGAGGAAUAGCUGUCACCGAUGCCGCCGCCACUGCAGGAGGUGGUGCUACAGGAGCAGCAGGUGCGGGAAGAUCCCUCGGCACAGAUGCCGCCGCCGCCGCCNGUACAGGUACAGGUGCAGCCGCCGCCGCCGCCGCCUGUCGAGCCACGAAGUCAUGAGCCGUCCUAUCUGCUUCCCUUGUUGUCGCAUAGCACCGGCCAAAGCCGCUACUUGAGCCCGCAACUCUCGAACUUCAUCAUAUCUAACUUGCUCGGGCACUUCAUCAGAUAAUGCCGGAGCGGAUCGACGCGUGUAACGUCUCGGGGACAUUAGAUCCUGAAAUGAAACACACACGUUAUUACUCGACGCGCGUAACUCUUACACGUUCCAAAUAACUACCCAAUUAAGCGAAAGCAAACAAGUGUCCUCAUUUUCAACUCUCGGCAUCAUGUAGUCGGCCGCCCACAUAACACUUCAAGAAGAAAACAAACAAUCCCUUGAAUCCAUCUCUAAGUCCUUUUAGAGAAGUUCUUUUCAUAACUCAAUCAAUUAGCUUCCGCAUUUUCGAGUCCAUGUCAAAUGUCUCCUAAGUCCUUAAGGUCUCCAAUCCUAAGGUCCCUAAGUCCAUCCUAGACUUUUGCUUUCACUUCGCUCUGAUACCACCAUAUCUGUCACACCCUGGGGUGGCCAAUUUGGUCUGUUCGGGCACGCGAACAGACGCCGAACGGACAGCACCUCCCUUAUCCGCCCAAGGCUCCAACAACAUGUAUAAUACAAGCAAUUCAACAACAUGAAUGUAAUUAUACAAGGUUUGCACGAGGGCAAACAACAACAAAUUCACACGUGAAAGCAUCGAAACUAACUAUACAUUUAUCCACAUACAUGUCAUCUGAUUACAUUUGAAUCAAACACAAGUAAACCAUUAUUUACAUUCAUUCACAUUUACAUCAUAUUUGCUUUUAACCAAGAUAACAGGUUUACAUCGUUUUACAUUACUAGUUCAACAUACAAAAGUUGAAGAUAUACAUAGGGUAUGCCUAUACUCCGAGGCCGCUAUCUAUGGUGCUAGCCCCUUGCCUCGAUCCUCCGCCACCCCGCUCGCGCACGGAUCUGCAGGGUUAGUGGUAAUGAGAACUAGAACGAAGUUCCCAGUGGGUUCGGCCACCGAUCGCGCCGACUCGCCUACUAUGUCUAUUCAGGCAUAUGUAUUUCAAGAAAUAUAGAUAACAAACCAUCUAAUGCCACUAAUACAAUGCCUGCAGGAAAGUAGUCAGCAGAUAGAUAGAUAAUCCAAUACAUGAUAAUUAUGCAUGCAUGUUCAUGUCUCACUCUCUUUGGCCUCUUUACCCAAUCAUCCCGGGGUACACAUGGUUCACCCCAAACUCACAAUCCACACAUCCCGUCUACCGGGGGAGGCACAUGGCUUUACCACCCGAGGGAUCUUCGCCGGGCACUCUCCCGUGGUGUCUACACUCCGAAGUACACCGCUUGAGGAGGAGCUACCUCCCUGAAGCCGGAACCAAUGUGUGAGUACGAUCCAAUCCUCAAUUUGAGGACGUAGCCAAACCUGUCUCAAUCACAAUAUCUCAAUGCCAAUAAUAGGUUACUACCAUAUCAUGCAUACCACUAUACCUAAAUCACAAUGGUCCUGAUGUCACAAUAAGCUAAACCUUGUUUAGUCAUUUACAUUCUCGGUGCCAAUCUGGUCACUAAUGUCAAUGUCACCUUUAUUUACUAUUGUCAUAGUCCGUUCUCGCAUUCACAUACACAUAGAGUUCUUUCAUACAUAGUUCACAUGGUUCUUUAUCAAUUCACAUAUUCUUUAAGCAUCUAAAUGCAUUUCAACUAAGAACAUAUAUCACACUACCCUACAUGCAUGAAUGCUAAUAUCAAUAUGCUCCAAAAAGGCAACAUAGACAUAGAGAGAAAUUCGGUGUUUCUGGACAGUACCCCCCACCUUUUGGUGAUGCUAAGAUGCAGUGGUUCAAUUUCCGUGAUUUUUAGACCUCUACGCCGCAAGCUGCGAGAUCUAUACCAAUUUAGCCCGUUUCUUCAAUUUCUCCGCACUCGCUCGUCGUAUCGCCGAACCGAGCGUACCAACGCGUUCGUUGACCUACUAAUUAGGUUAAAAUGAGAUCAAACCCAAGCUUCGACCUCAAAAUUCUAAAACCCUAACUUUAGGUCCUUGUACAUUCUUAUCUUCCCCAAACUAGUCCUUAUACAUGAAUAACAUGGGGGAAAUCCUCCAAUCAUCUCCUAGAAGCAUGCUAGAAGGAAAACAAACCCAAACCUAGCUUAAAUCCAUGGAACUCACCUUAGAGUCCAAAGCUUUCCUUGUACACUUGCACUCUUGCAAGCAACACCCUUGACUUGGUCUUCUUCUCCACCAAGAUCCCUCCUCAAAGCCUCCUUGCUCCAAACUCUAGAGAGAGAGGAAGAGAGAAGAGAGGUUUUAGAGAGAGAGAAUGUUCUCUUGUGUUGGGUAUGAGAGAAAUGAGCCCUAGCUCAAGCCUCAACCCAUACUUAACUAUUCACCAUGCCAUAUUUACACUUAAGUCCCUCUCAAAUCACUUAUUCACAUCAGCCCAAACUGGGCAGUUUUCGCAUGCGGGGUCCGGACCCUGAAGCUAAGGUCCGGACCCCGAGAGCAAUACCACUCCCAGUUAGCCCGCGAAGGGCAUUUUGCGCAUACGGGGUCCGGACCCUAGAGGGUUCGGACCCCGAGAGCAUGAUUUCUGGUACUUAGCCAAAUUUUCACAGGUUUGCUCUCAUGGGUCCAUAUACCCUAUACAAUGGCCCUAAUGAUCUUAGAACCCAUUGUAACUUAUUCCAACUUGACCGACUCCGCAUUCCGCUCGUUUCGACGGAACUCGGCACAUUUCUCGGGGAAGUGAUACGUUACAUGAAGUUAGUUUGUUAAGGGACUUAUUGUUUGAGAUUCCAUUUCUGGGAAAACUAAUAAUUCCAUCUAUGUUAAUAUACUAUGAUGUAAUAUUGCUAUUGGUGGAAUAAGAAAUUGUUAUUAUAACAGUAAAUUCAGAUCCGUGAGAAGAAAAUACGGUACUGUGAGAUCAUGUAUGAACAAUGGUAUUAUCAGUGUAGAUUAUAUUAAAUCUACUAAUAAUCUAGCAAAUCCAUUAACUAAGGCCUUGAGAAAAGAAAUGGUUUGGAGUACAUUGAGGGGAAUAGUGUUAAAGCCCACAUCAUGAACCAUAUAUGAGAAUACCCAACCCAUUGAUAAGAGAUUCUGAAAAUUGGGUUUAAUAAGAAAAAACGAAUCAUAUAGUGGUCAUAAAGAAUGCACAAUAUAUAGUUAUAUAUAUGAUCACAUAUUUACCUAUAUCUAUGGUGUGAGUGCAUUCAUCUUAUAAUAAAAAGAGGGUUGAGUUAUUACACUUUUAAUGAAAUCUGUGGCUCUUACAAGCAGAGUGUCAAGCACCCUUGACGGAUUUCAUCUAUGUGAGCAUGGAAGUGGGACUACUUCCUAUCUUAGUUAGUUAAUUUGCGAUUAAAACGCGAAUGAUAUGCGAAUUUUAAAAAUUACAUAUUAAACGGUCCGUUCUGUAUUUUCCGAAAAGUUCAAAAAAAAAUGCGAUUUCUUCCUAAAAAAAACUUGUUCGCGAAUUAUUCGCGAUUCGCGAAUGAUUCGACCAAAAAAACGGUGCUCGCGUUCGCGGAUUCACCGCCGAGGCUCGCAUCGUCGCCGUGCUUGUGGUCAUUGCUGCGCUCGUCGUCGCGGAUUCGUGGCCAAGGGUCGCGUCGUCGUCGCUCUCGUCGCCGAACUCGUCCGGGUUGUCCUCCUCCUCCUCCGCCGUCCUGGCCGGCACCGGGAGCAAGAGUCGCCGCGGCGGCGGAUGCCUUCUCGCGCUGUCCGCGGAAAAAUGUGGAAGAGAAACAGUAAAAAAAAUCGGGGCUUUUGAGCAGACUUUUGUGCGCGGUCCACGAGGCCACUUUGUGGCCUCGUGGACCGCAUGAGAGGGAGGUCAUAUANAUAUAUAAUUUUUUAUUUAUAAAUUUAUAAUUAUUUAUUAAUAUUUCUAAAUACAUAACUCUUAUAUAUUAUUAAUAUAUAUUUAUUAUAAUUUUGCAUAUAUUUAAUUUAUAUAAAAAAGCAUAAAAAUAAUAUAUAUAGUAUAUUAAUUAUUAUAUAUUUAUUAUAUAGCCGAAUUUUUGAUUCCGAAUUUUUAAUUAGUAAACGUAUAAUAUCCGUAUAAAUUACGUAUCCGAAUAAUUACCAAAUCCGUUUUUUAGCCGGAUUUUCAACGAAUUUAAAAGUUAAAAGACGAAUUUUAUCCGAAUUAUACCUGUACCGAAUUUUUGCCGAAUCCAAAUUAACUAACUAUGCUUCCUAUGAGAACAUGCUUUUUCUCAAAGAUGCUCAUGAAAGCCAGGAUUAGCACUAGGCCAUACAUGCUGCUAGUAAAGCUUAUGUCAAUACUUGGAUAGUUAUAUAUGAGCAAUGACACUAUUUUUCCUAAGCAGCCAAAGUCAAGUCUGAGACCAUUUUUACUUUAGAGUAGAGGCUAUUGUUCACUAAGUGAAGUGUCGCUAAAUUCGAAAUAGUUUAAAUUUUGUUUGUAAUAGCAAUUCUCAAAUAGCUAAGCGAAGAAGAUAAGGAGGAGAAAAGAAGAAAAGUGGAAUGAAAAUAAAGAAAAAGAAGGCAAGGAAGAAGACAUUUUCGGAAAAAACAGAGAAGAAGGCGUGAAAGAGAUGUCGAGAAGUGUAGUGUCCCGCAAAAUAUUUAAAUAUUAUUUUUUUAGAACCAUUACAGUCUGUGAUUUUGUCAACACGCCGAAAAGGUGUCUGGGUGAGUGGAAUUUGAAUUAGACCUGAAAUUGAUGUCAAAAUUAAAUCCAAAGCGCCAACCAAUUUCAGCUAAUGCAACUUUACUAAAGUGUGCCUAAGACACGCUACAUUUAGUCCCAACUACCCCAAAUAUUGUUGGCUGAGAAAUCCUUUCAAAGUUUUGUCAUUCUCUUCCUUGUCCCUAUAUUUAUUUUCUUCUCCCUCUUUUUCUCUGCUAUGAACUCCUUAUGCAGGCGCCAAGUUGCAGCCAGCAGCAUUGGAGCAACAACAAUAGUAUUUGGAGGAGAUCCUCACAGCAAUAGCAACAAUUGAAGAAUUGUAGGUUUCUCUCCCUUUUCUUCUUCUUUCUUCUUCUCCUUCACUAGUCCUUUUACCCCAAUCUUUCUUAUUCCUUGCAUAGGAAUCAAAUUGCUGUUGCUGUUGCCAGCAAGCUGAGAUUGCAGCGCAGCAACAACAGAUGUUUGUUGGGGGAGCCUUGCAGGAGGACAUUGUAUGACUGGGCCUGAUUGUUGACCCCCUCAUCUCCUCACCCUUUAUGUUUUCACCAAUUUCUCAGUUGCAUCCAGAGAAGAAGCUUCUAACUGAGCCAUACCUUCAGCUGCAGCAACAAGACUACCAGCAACCUUGUUGCAGCUUGGCAGCAAGACAAGUAGGAAGAGGGAAGCAAUUGGAUGAUCCUCUGAAGCUCCAAUUUCAAAAUUGAGCACUUGUGUUGUGUGGGGAAGUUGUGAACUAGCUUGCACCUUCCUUGAGCUAGAAUUGCAGGUUAUAACUCUAAUUUUAAAGUCAAUCAUAGAUGGUGCACAUGUUGAAUUGUUAGAUUGAAUUGAAUCGAUUUCGGAUUUUGAUAAAAUCCGUUUGAAUUUCUUCUAGGAGCGAAGCUUUGGAAGAGUUGGGAGUGAUCUUGACUUUAUCCUCUAGUGGUUAGAGUGUUGUUUGGAUAAAUUAAGAGGUAAGAUGAGUGAGAAUUUCAGUUUUCAUUGAGGUCAUAAAUCAAAAAAUAGUUUUUACGUUGAAGCUGAAUUCUUGACCUCUAUUUCUUAAUGUUAUUGGAAUUUGGCGGUGAAUUGUGAAUUUUUAUUGUAGUCUAGAAAUCAAAGAUUACUCAUGGAUUGCCCUCUAUUCUCAUUUUGUCCUAGAUUUUCUUGCGGAUCAAGGAAUUUGCAGCAUCAAGGUUGUUAGAUGUAUGCCUUAGAAGCCAACUAGGCUGACACAUGUAUUCUUUAUAGGACAUAAAUUUGUAUUUGAUUUUAAAAUAUUAUGAAUAAAUUUGGGUUCUUAUUUUCAUUCAUGUUGUGUAUGUGUCCAUGAGUCGUCCAAGAAAUUAAUAAGAUGAUGACAUAUAUUCUCAAGAGUUGAGAAUUUGAGACAUGUGUCAUUGGUGGUUAAUUCCUAAAUGCUCUUGAUCGAUGGAUCAUCACGGGGACGGUGAUUGAUCCGGUAAGAUUAGUGCAUGGGUCGCUACCCUUUUUGGAUAGACGAUCUCGAGUCGACAGUGUGGGGACACUGAAGCGAAUAUGUAGGUGGUUGUUAGAAAAUAAGGGACCGAGCGUGACCAAUGCGAGAAGUCACUUGGAUGUCUACUUACUCGUCAGUGACUUACUCAAUGUUGCAGUAGUGUGAAUGGUCCUUUGACCUGCAGUGCAUCGGUUAUUCACAAUGAGGUUACUGUAGUUUGAUUGUACAUAUACUUGGUCUCUAGCUAUUCGGGUUAUUGCGGUGUAUGUUGGCCGCAGUAGGUUUAUUGUAGGAAUAGGGUGUGCACUUAUAUGGAAUCUAUCUCCCUUGAUAGAUAGGGGCAAUAGUCCUAUGUUAUUUAUGAGACCGAGUUUAGAAGACCUUGGCCAGGGCAGAGUUAAUACCGAAAAAGAGUUUUCGAUAUUAGAAACUCAAGUCAAAUAAAUUUGACAUAUGACAGAUGAUAUGGUUUGACGAGUUAUUCCAUGACCUCCGCCUAGUCGGGAUUCAUGAUAGAAGGACUGUAUCACAUGGUAACUGCACCAAGAGAUUCAGUAUUUCAUUCUACUGACAUACCACUACAUGCUGCUAGAUGUCAUUGGUGGAUAGUGAGACUCGUGAGAAUUAUCUAGAUGAUCGAUAAUUCUCAUUGGGUUGAAUUGGAAUUAUUUCGAUCCACCGAAAGGAGUUUCAGUGAUAUUGUUGAAGUGAUCAAAAUAUAUCUCACUACCAGAUAGAAUAGAACCUAUGGGGUCACACACAUAAGAGGUUCUGACUGAUCGGAUAGUUAGAUCGCGAUUUUUGAGUCGCCGGAGGACAUAAUUGUCAAUAUGUUGCUAAUUGGAGUAAUUUGUAAUUAUUACAAAUUAAUAGUAUUAAAGUGUAAAUAUUACAAGAGAGAACUUACUAAUAGUUAGUAAAUUAUGAGAGGAUUUAUGUGCAAAUAUUGUAUUAUUAAUUUGAUAGGAUCAAAUUAAGAUAAAGUUCAAGUCGAAUCAAAUUAGGAUUUGAUCGAUCUAACCAAUUAAGAAAAGAAUAAAUUUAAAUCUAGAUUUGUANAAUUAAGUGAAACAGGAAUGUGUAACAUUGUAUAGCAUUACUCAGCACACUCCCCCACCAGAAAUUAAGAGGAGAAAAAGAUACUGGAGUGGUAUCAAAUUAGGAUUUGAUCGAUCUAACCAAUUAAGAAAAGAAUAAAUUUAAAUCUAGAUUUGUACUUAUCCUUAAUGGUCAUUAUAUUAUUAAAAAGAGGAUUAUAUCCCUCUAUAUAAUAUAUGGGAGUUUUUAGAAAACCCUAGUCGUCAUCUCUCUUCUCUUCUCUCUGAUUAUGUUUUGGUACUCAAAUUACCAUCAACAUCUGUUCGAAAUAGUUGGAAUGACGUUAUUUGUAAGGAAGUAAAUUCUCGAAAAACGAGAGUUGAACUUCGAUUGGAAUCAACUGAUUGUCGGUUAGGUAUGCUUCAAAAAGGCCGAAGGCGUCGAAAUACAAGAAGUGCAUUGUGGACGGCCUCGGAGGGCAAGUUGUGUAAACCUGCACAAUUGCAGAUUUUGCUCUCGGGGACCGAUCCUUGGUGGGAGGGACCGGUUCCCGUAAGCAUUGUGAGUGGCAGAAAAAUGCUACGCACAAAAGUUGCUAUCGGGGUCCGGUCUCUCAGGGGAAGGGGACAGGCCUCCCUAUGCGUAAAAUGGGUAGGGUGGCACUGCUCGCAAAGUUUGCUCUCGGGGACCGGUCCCCCUAGGGACAGACCGAUCCCCGUACCCGAAAAUGCCCAGGGCUGGGCUGUGCAUAACUUGCAAAGUUGAGGGGGGUUUUGGGUAAUUGUGCAUGUGUGGGGUUAAGUGGAGGGUAGCCUUUCUCUCUUCUCUCACUUUCCCUCAAACCAAACCUAAACCUAAGCCCUCCUUCUCUCUAAGCUCUCUUCCUCUCUCUCUAGAAGGUGAAGGAGGAGGAGUUGGUGGAGAUUAAGAUCAAGAGGAGGUUCUUCUUCUUCUUCUUCUUCCCCCUUGGCUAGGAGCAAGCUUGUAGAGGUAAGCUUCUAAGCUCAACCAUGGUAGAUCUCUAGGGUUUACAUUUUAUACUCUAGAAAUGAUUUGGUUGGAACUCUAGCAUGCCUAAUAGAUACUUAAUGCAUGAGUUUGGAGAUUUAGAGAUGGAUUCUUGCACGAUUGCAAGCUAGGGCUCCAAAAUGGGGUUUUGCUUUGUGGUAGGGUUUGAUCCAAAUUGAUCAUGUAUUAACCUAAUUGAUAGGCUUUCUGACACGUUGGCGAAGACGGUUCGGCAAUCCGUCGAGCUCGUGCAAAGUUAUUGGCAAAAAGAACCUUUCGAGCUUCGUUUCCGCCUGGGAGGCCGAGACGACGUCAUAAAAUCGCCAAAGCGCAUUCCUAGAGUUGUGACAACGCCAGAAGGUGGGUGGUGUCAUCCCGAAGCAACCAGGCUCCUCUUUAUGUCUUAAUGCAUUGUAAUCUUGCAUCUCUUACAUAUAUGCAUUGUAGGAUAAAUGUGCAUUGCCAUUUCCUUAUGCUUUCCUAGAUGAUAUCAUAGUGUGAGUUGAAUGCUUGAGUAUAGAUUGUCAAUUCCAAAGCUCUAUCAUCAAAAAUAAUUUAUGAGUACAAAAAGCUCUAUACUCAUAAGAGUAUAGUAGCCCUACUCUCUCUCUAUAUAUAUGGUAUAAAUUAUACACUUUCAAUUACAUAUAUUAUAGAGAUAGUUCACCUACGAGGCUAAGGCUACUAUACUCUUAUGAGUAUAGAGCACUUCGUACUCAUAAAUUAUUUUCAAUGAUGGAGCUUCCGAAUCGAUGAUCCUCUCUGUUACAUAUGAUUUAGAGUAUUUGAAACUUCUAGAAAAUAAAUUUCGUAAUUUUUUGAAAUCAUAAGAAAGUUCAUCAAGCGGGUAUAAAAUGAAUGGUCAAAAUAGAAUGAUGUCUUGAAAAUGGAUGAUCGGAUCCUUCAAUUUAAGAUCGGAGUUAUUGAUCUUUAUCUAUACAGUGAAUAGAAUUUUCUAUCAAAAAUUCAACUGAUUUCGAUUUUUUUACAACGUUAAACUAGCAAAUAUUCCAUACCGGCCGUUAAAAAUUGUCAAUUUUGUGACCUUUUGAUCAUAAGGUAAAUGAUGUCGAAAAAUUACAAAAUUUGAUUUCUAGACAUUUUAAAUGCUCUAGAUAACGUUUAACGGUAUGGAUCGUCGAUUCGGAAGCUCUAUCAUCAAAAACAACUUAUGAGUACGAGGGCGAUCGUACUCAUAAGAGUAUAGUAGUCGGACUCCACCUACAAUAUUAUUAAUAAAGAAUGGUGUUUACUAUCUUCCGAAGGGUUAGCAAGUUGUCAGUAAAUAUUAUUCAUUAGGAGCAUUGGCUGAAUUCUCUGUCUAUAUAUAGUGUAUUUAUAAAAUUAAAAAUUUGAAACUCUAUUCCUCCCAUGGUUCUCCUCUAAUUAGGAACUCUAUGAAGCUUGGGAUAAAUAAGGAGAGGAGAACACAUUUAAAAUUAACAGUGAAGCUAAACUUCAUAACUAUCAAAUGUUGAACUAAACAAAAACAAUCAAAUUUGAACUUAGAGGUUUAAAAAGGAAGUGGAGGGAAGACAAAAUUUCCAUUUCCUUCUAAAAUUUGAUUAUCUAAAACUAAUUUGUCCAAAAGUUUGUUAAUAAUUUAUAAAUACUGCAAAAUAAGAAUUUUGAAAUAUUAAAAUUGCGAAAUGAGUAGCCGUCAGUGAUUGUUAUCCGAAGCACUAUCGAGCAGGUUGAAGAUUCUACCCACUCUUCCCUCCCAGGAGAGGAAAAAAAAAAAAAAAAAAAAAAACUAGUACCCAUAUAAUACAAUCUCAAUUGACUAGCUUAUAGUUUAGCCUAUUUGUGUUUAAUAUAUCAGUAUUUCCCGUUUAAUUGUUAAUACAUUAAAACAUCUGUUAUGUGCAUGUUGAUUCAUUAAUACAUUAGUGCAUUCCUGUUAGAUCAUUAGCACUAACCAUAAUGCCGUAGCAGGAUGCUAGUCUACUUGCCAACGAUCACCCCCUCCGCCCUAGUGAUCUGUCCUGAUACGCUUUAUUGGAUCCUUGACGCUACUCAUGAUUUUAAAAAGCUGAGCUAAUGAAAGGUAUAGAUACAGCACCCACGAGUCUUAAUUGGGACUUUACUCACCCUAGCCUCCACCACGUAGGGAGGAUGCUAGCUUACUUCUUUACAAUACCUAAUUCAACUUUUGAAAAUGAAGGGAAGCAUCUGCAUUUCUCAUUCAUUGUGCUGCAGAUGUAUAUGAGUACAUACACUGUCAGAAACUCAGCUCAAAACUCAGCACUAGGACACACCGAACGAACUCAAGAGGAUACAAUAGUUAGGAAACAUAGCAGGUAAUAAUUAAUGCUUCCUGGAUUACACUGCACAAUUUGAAACGGAUUACUCAGAAAGUUUUCAUUUUAUUAACUGAUAACUUGUUUGAUUUAUAUGGGCUCUCUUUUCACCUCUUUGAUUGAAGAAUUUUGUAAUCCAAUAGCAUUCAAUCAUUUCAUAGAAUGUUCUUUAAGCCCACUAGAAAUUCUUUAAAUUUAACGGAAUUUUGAUGAAAUUUUUUAUAAUAAUUUAGAAAUCAAAAGGGAUACAUAAGACUAAAUCGUAAAAUAAAAAUUUUAAAGUUUAGGUACUCACUUCAUCACAUGCUAAUUAAGGUGGUCCAUACAUUUUUUUACUCCAAAAAGCUUGAGCUUCCAACCGCUAGUACUGUUUAUAAGCGAUCACUUUGAUAAACACAUAUGAUAAGUUCAACUCUACAUUUUUACAUGGAAAAAAAAAAAAAAAAAAAAAAAAAGAAGAGCUUCCAAAUGCUAAUACUGUUCAUAAGCAGCAGACACUUCGAUAUUGAGUUGGUACUAUUACAGAAGAUACAAAAUAAGCACAUGGAAAGUAGAGCAUUACCUUACAAUAACACAAAAAUAAAAAUAAUCACAUAGACAGAGGGCACAGUGAAAAUGACUCUGGUAUCUCACAAGCAAAAGUAAACCUGAAGACUUUUAUAUUUCACCAAGAGCUUUCUGUAUGUCUUUCUGCAAAGAUAAGUGAAAUAAGAACAUAAACAAACAUAAAAGUCCGAACAAAGCAGAAUUUCCAAAAGGAGAGGAAAGAAAGGGUAAAUUGAACCAUUAGCUCCUGGACAUUUACAAAAGUUUCACUUUGACCCAUAUUCUUUUAAAUUGAAUUUAGAGCCGCCCAAACUUCAAUAAAUGUACUAAGUUGGCGCAAUCCAUCUGACGUUGAGUUGACUGAAAGAUGAUAUGAUUAGAAACAUCGGAAAAAUUUGUGCCGAAAGGUUUAAAACUACAAAGGUUUUCUGCUCUUAACGGCAGCUAACAAAAUGGCCCCAUCUUUUAAAACAAUAUGUGCUAAUUUGCCUUUUGGUAGUGCAUACUUUGGUUCAACAAAACAUUUACCGUUAGACUGAUAAAUGGAAGAUGAGGAAUGGGCCAAUUUGAUAGCCAUGAAAGUUCGGAGGCAAUAAGUUUACUUCAAAACAGAAGGGGAGAAAGUGGAAACUUUCACAAAGUUUGUAGGCUAGCAGAGCAAUCUACCCAGAAGAAAAAAAGGUAGAGAUAUGAACCUCGAUAGACAAUGGGGGUGUUGAUGUCCCGUAUCUGGCGAUAACUUUUCCGUCCUUAUCAACAAGAAAUUUAGUGAAGUUCCACUUAAUCCUCGAUCCAAAGAGACCAGAUUUGCUUGCCUUCAAAAAUUUAUAAACAGGUACAGCAUCCGGACCAUUUACUCGAACCUGCGCAUGGUAAGGGAUAAAAUUUAACAGAACGUAAAGCUAGCAUAGCUGAAAUGAAAGAAUUAACAGAGUGGAAACACUACGGAAGUUUAUUGAUGGCUCUGACAUACAAUUCCAUGCACAUUGCCUGUUUAUUUACAUGUAAAUUAAAGUAUUUCUAACCAAAAAAAAAAAAAAACCAAUAUAGCAGCAUGAACAGCAGUCCUGCACCAAAUGUCCCAUAUGUUUUGUCUACCGACCAAGUUUGGUGCAUUAAUAAUACUACCAAACGGGAUAACAGAUGUGUAAGCAUAGACGUACCGGUAAACAUGCUAUUUGCAAGUUAAUGCACAUAAAAAAAAUACCAUGCAGUGGAACCUAAACUUAAGAUUUGUAUCACAUGACCACAAGGUUCAUAUCUCCCUACCAAAAUUUGUAAGUUUGUGGAGAGCCAUUACGCCUAAAGGGUAAAACAAUUCUCCAAAAUUCAUUUUGCACAGUGAUAUUUCUCAGCUGCAUUCUUGCGUAUGAACUCAUAUUCUGGUUUCAAGUCUUGAUGGGAUACAACAAAUCCGAGUAGUAUGGAAGUCUUAGCUUCAUCAUUUUGUAAGGGCCAAUCUAUGGUUACAACUAACGACCAGAACCUUCUUACAUAGAUCGCUACCAUGCAACCAGGUGUUACAAGUUUGACCCACAGAAGAAAAACAAGAAAAAUGGAAAAAAAUGAAACUUCCAAUAAUGAGCUAAUGCUGUGUUAUCUUGUCAUCUAUAAAGCUGACAUGGCAGGAGCAUGAAGAAUAGAAACUCUUGCCAGUUAAGCAACCAAAAAAAACAUAAGAUAGAAUGCCAAUUUACAUCACUAAUUUCUGAACCAAAUUGCGCAAUAAAGUAUGUUAUGAAUCUUAUGAUUUAAAGUGCCAGACCUACCCAUUGAACAUCACAAUACCAAAUCUAGGUUAGUUUAUCCCCAUCAGAGUUCUGCGUUACAACUAUGAAUAUGAACAACACAAAAUGAUGCAGUAUCGACUUCCACACUAUGAAAUUCCAUUACAGGCUUCCGUACGAACCCCUUUACCAUUGUAUAUUUUUCUUCUCAUGCUCCAAAUUUGGAACAUGCAUGUUCCUAGAUGGCCCACUAUACAAAGGAGAUGUUCAAAUUUUUCCGAACCUCAAGAACAACUCUUGAACAUCCGGUAUGCUUUUUCUUCCCUAUUUGAGAACCAAAGUUAUCUUUCCGUUUUCUCUUUUUCAGUUUUCCUCUAAAGGGAAAAGACAAAAGCGACAAUAGCUUUCCUUACAGCCAUUCAAACAGGAUUUUUCAUUGUUACCAUUUCUAAUCAUAUUUGAUCACAUUGAGAAUCAAAGUUAUUAACUUUUUGUACAUUUAUUUAGUUGCUCGGAUCAACACCAUGAGUUUGAUACCGGCAAUAUUUUGACUGCGUGGGUGAAGAAAGAAUGCAUCAAAUCAAAUAUACGUCAACAGGAAGUGAGCAAAUUUUAUUGUCUUACAUGUAAAGAAUAUAAUUAAUACAUGUUUGCAUUAGUUUUAUGACUUAAAUCAGGAGAUUUGUAUAGGAUUUAACUCCGCCACUCUAUGACAAAUCAUGAGUCUAAAUCUCAAGGUUGUCCAAAUCCCUAACAAAAACUGAAAGUUCUCAAUGAGAUAUCAAAUCACCACCCUGAUACAACCAAGGUUUUAAGUGCCCGUCGGCACGGGCCGUAUCCACCGUGCCGUACCGUGCCAACAAGAUACCGGCACGAUACAGACCCCGUGCCGAUGGCACCGCUCAAAACCCUCUAUUUUUUAAAUUAGUAAGUGAUUUUCUCAAUAAAGUUCAAAAGAUGUGAUAAAAAGACAUAAUAAAUAGUUAGAAUAUUUGUUGCUAAAGAAAAUAAAUAUUUCAUGCUAUUAUGUGUCGGCACACAAAAAAUUUUUUGACCAGCACGCAUCGACACGGCUCGGCACCGUGCCAUACCGUGCCGGCAAGUUUCCGGCACGACCCCGUGCCACGGCACUUAAAUCCUUGGUUCAUACAACACCUUCUCUUUGUAUCAAAAAUUUUAGGAUAGCUGAUUUGCAUUAAAAAUCACAAGAAUCUCACAGAAUACUGAAUACUUUCUCAUGAUCUUCUCAAUAACAAACAUUAAACGAGUUUAUAAAGCGAAAAACAGUUGGCGUCCUCCAUUAAGAGAAAUAAAAUUAAGUCCACUAUGUUAGACUGAUAGGAGCGAACUAAUGAAAAUUCUGACAAAACAAGUUGGUAUUGUUUAAACAUUUCAAAACUCUAAAAAGAAAGAAAACGAUAUAGUCAAAAAGGACUAACGGAAGAGCCAAAUGUAUUUUCCUUUCUAAGAAUGCAUCAACUACUGUUUUGGAGGACAAAAACAUCAGAUGUUGGAUUUCAAAUUUCAUCUAAAAACAGCUAUUCAGGAAAAUAAACUACAGAGCUGUUGCCUUACACUUCUUUCUUCAUUUCAGAAUUUCUUAUUUGGUGUUACACAGACAAAGAUAAACAAAGACAAAUUUCAUACCUUCUGGAAAAUCGGAUACUCAGCCUUAAAUCUUGUGCAAGCGAACUCUUUGAUCUCCUGGCUCGUACCAGGCUCCUGAUGCAGGAACUGAUUGCAUGGAAAUGCCAAAAUCUCAAAAUCUGAUUAUUUAGAAACAAAAUUAAUUAGCUUCCAUCAAGUUGUUAGAGUGAGACAAUAAAUGAAGCAGCAUAAAAUAUGACUCAGCAGAGCAGGAAAAAGAAGAAUCUAAUAUUCAAAAUAAAUAAAUCCAUGAACUUCUUUACAAAACAAUAACCUCAAUAGUAGCUGGGAAAAGAAACAUAUCAGCAUGUUCUCAUUUUAAAAACAGAGAGCAUAUUCAGGCUAGCAUCUAGUCACGGAAAAUACUCAAGGUGUAAUUUCUCUUGCUCUCGGUGCAAUUGUUAAGCCUCUUCGUCUCCUUGAAGAGGCGGCAAAUGCAUAGGGGCCAUUGGACGAAGAGUAAUGAGUCUGAAUUGUCUUGCCCCAUAGGAGGGAGAAUAAUGGGGCAGAAUUGUAGCCAUACUUUAGCAAUAGUCCACAUGAGUUGAUCCCAAGGUAUGAUAAUCACAGGACUUACUUUCAAGAAACAAAUAUUACCAAAGAAGUUAUCAUUCGGAACAGUAUUUUUUGAUAAAUAAGAACAACCCACCCCCCACCCCCAGGCGACAGAAAGAAAAAAGAAAAAAAAAAAAGAAGAGCAUUUACUGACUUGAGAGACAAAAUAUUGCACUCGGGAGAUCCGUGCUGAGAGAAGUAGUUAGCAUCAACCCCACUAGCUGCAAUUAUUGUAUCACAGAGGAAGGUAAAAUGCAUAUUUUUUAAAAAAUUUUCGGAGUUUUGUGCGCAACGUGAUAUGUCCAAUGGGGCAAAUGCAAGAAGCGAUAAAUCAAUUUGAAUAAAAAAGGCAGAAUCCUGAUAACUAUUUCUCAAAUAGAAGAUAGAUUACCAACUAAAUACCAAAUUCUACAUUAUCUUGCAGUAGUAAUUGGAUUGGGAAAGCAAUCCAAAGAAUGGUCACUAUAUUUACAAGAAACCUUCAAACACAAUCAUAAAAGGAAUUUGGAAUCCUAUAAAUAGCAGAAAACAGAUACCAACCUUUGUUCUUGUACUUGCUGUAGAGUUCUGUCAACUGCGUGUAGUUGCUAUCUGUGAAACCACUGUUACACAAUUCAUUUUAAGGAGAAGAAGCGAAAAAAAUUAGGAGGUAAAUAGGGAAAGAUAUGCUGGACUUUCUAAUGUUUGGUCCUAGCCACCUAACUUUAAGAACUUACCCACCAAAAAAAAAAAAAGAACUUAAAAUCUUUUCAAUCAGCCACCUGAUUCCAAAUUUGAUAAAUUUCUCUUAAUAAUUAUGAGUUACAUACAAAGCAAAUAACUCAAAUACCUAGAGGUGAAAACGGUCGAAUAUGGUCGGAUUUUUGACAAAACCAUAUCCGCAUCCAUAUUUUCCAAAUUCGAUGCGGAUAUGUCGAACGCUAAAUUUUCAUUACCAUAUCCGCUAAAAAAGGAUUCGGAUUCAGAUGAGACUCGGAUAUAUAUUCGGAUAUUGUUAGGAUAAUAACAUAUACUGAUAUGAAUAUAUAAAUAUAAAGUAGAAUUAGCGCGAAUAAAACACAUAAUGCAAUUAAAAGUUCACAUUUGGUGUUCAAACUUCGUAUACCUAUAUUUUAUUCAUUAAGAUUUAAUAUUUAACAAACAUAAAUACAACUUUAACCUAAAGCUCAUAAUAAAAUAAACGAAGAACACAAUAAAAAAAUCACUUUAUCCUCCUACAAUAUAUAUUAAUUAAUAUCCCUCUUAUCUCCUACAGGUGAGAACGGUCGAAUACGGUCGAAUUUUUUAUGAAACCAUACUUUGCAUCCAUAUCAUUUUCUUCUUCUUUCUUUUUUUUGGAUAUGAUCUGGGAUAUGAACAAUUGAACAUGUGUUGAAUCCUAAAAUAUUUAGGUCCAUAUUCGCAUCCUAUCUACGGAGUUUAUCCUAACCACCCUCACCCCUACAAAUACCCCUACAUUUAUCUUGGUAUUCAAAAAUAAUAAGAGUAAAUAUAAACUUUUCAAAGGUGAAAUCACUUGUCACAAGUCAUAAUUAAUAACAGAAAUUUUUAAUUAAAAAAAAAGUUUACUUUUUAAACUAAAGAGUGAUCAAGUGGUAACCGAACCAAAUUCCCAAAUUAAAGAGAAGAGAGUAUUACCAUUUGGAAGCAACAUUUACAACGAGAAGAACCUUCCCCUUGUAAACCCCCAAAUCAACCUCCUUGCCGCUGCUAUCCUGCAACAACAACAACAAAACAAAAAAAGCACACAAUCCUUAAUUAUUAUUAUCAUUAUUAUUAUUAUUAUUAUUCAAAAUAACUUAACCUAUUUAAUCCAACAAAAAGAAACAAAAAUAUAUAUAUAUAUACAAAAAGAAAAAGGAAAAAUAAGAAAGAAGGAAAGACGGGUGAAAUUACUUUGACUGUGAAUUGAUGGAUGGAAGUCUCCUUGGGCGACGACUGCGAGGCUCCCAUCUCUCCACUUCCUCUGAUUUUCUCCCUUGCUUACUUUCCCUCUCUCUCUCUCUUCCGAUCGAGCUGUCGCUCGAAAGGGGCACGUUCUACUGCCCCGGUAUAUACGGCCCAGGAGGGGCUGAUGCGGUGUGAUCCAGCGUAUCAUUGCGCGACAGUUUUAAUAUACAUAUACUAUUCUACGCAAUCGGAUCCAACGGAUUCAAAGUGAUUUUUUUAGUUUUUUUUUUUUUUUUUUUUUUUUUCUCCGACCCUCCUCCAUUAUCUCCGCGACCUUUUUCGACAGCAGCAAGGCGGCCCGCCUUCUCUUCCUCUGCUUUUUUUUUAAUUUUUUUUUUCUCUCCAACUUCCCUCCAUUGUCUUCGCAGUCUUCUGCGAAGGUAACGACGACAGCGCCGCCUCCUCUUCUGAUACCAGUGCCGGAGGAGAAGGAUUCAAAGCGAGUAUGGAUAAGAGCGGAACGAACAGAGGCGAUGAAGUCGUGGCCGGGACAGUGCUCGCUGUUGCUCGUGAGGGUGAGAAUGAAAAUGUGCCCACGCUUCUCUAAAAAGCGCUUCGAGCAAGGGCAGUGACUGCCAUAGAGGGCGAGGGAGAGGUUGUGACAACAAAAAAAAUUAUAGAGAAGAGAAAAAUCAUAAUAAUUAAAGAUAAAAAUAAAAAAAUAUUUUAUUUAUAAGAAAAACUAAAAAUUAUAUAAGAAGGAAGAAAAAGAUGAAAUUACACUAUUAAAAUAAAGUUACAUUAUUUUAAAAAAAUUUUGCACUGUUUUAUAUAAAAGUUGCACUUUUUGAGACAAAAAUUAUAUUCUUUGAUAUGAGAGUUACACUCUUUAGGCAAAAAUUAUACUCUUUUGAUAAAAUUUACAUUAAUUUUCUUUCUUUUCCUCUUCUUUCUCAUCCUCCUUCCCAUCUGCUUUCUUGUACUUUUUAUAUGCCAAUCCUGGGUUGGUAACGUGCGCGGUGGAGGCGGAGAAGAGCACGAUGACACUAGAGAAGAGGUUGGCGGAGGCAGAGGUAGUGGCGGCGGCCCGCCUCGGCUCCAUCCUGCAGGGGGUGUGCAGCUACGGGCGAGGACUCCCCUCCUCACUUCUGUCCCCAUCAAUGCCACCACCUCGCCUCCACACUCCACCGCUUCGCCACUACCUCGCCUUCACGAGUCAAUAGGGGCGGAAGCGAAGCGGGAGGUGCGCGGGCGAGGGUAAGAAGUGCCGGCGGGACGUGUGCCGUGCUCUUUCCCGUGCACCCCUUGCAAGAGAGAGACAAGGCGGGGAGUCCUUGCCCAUGUCUGCGCACCCACCGCCCGCGCACCUCUUACGGGGCGAAGGCAUUGCAGGCCACCGCCACCUCUGUCUUCGCCGCUCUAUUCUUUGACGUCACUGUGCUCUUCUCCGCCUUCACUGUGCACGUCGUCGGCCCAGAAUGGACGUAUAAAAAGUACGAGAAAGCGGAGGGGAAGGAAGAGAAGGAAGAAGAGGAAGAGAAAAAGAAAUUGUGUAAAUUUUACUCAAAGAGUGCAAUUUUUGUCUAAAGAGUGUAACUCUUAUCUCAAAUAGUAUUAAUUUUGUCUCAAAGAGUACAACUAUUAUAUAAAACAGUGCAAUUUUUUUUUAAAAUAAUGUAAUUUUAUUUUAACUGUGCAAUUUCAUCUUCUUCUUUCUUCUUCUAUGAUUUUUGGUCUUUCCAGUAGGAAAAAAAAAAAAAAUUUAUUUUUAUCUUUUAUCAUUCUAAUUUUUUUUUUCCCUCUACAACUAUUUUUAUUAUCACAGCCUCUCCCUCGCCCUCUAUCGCAGCCACCGCCCUUGCUAGAAGCGCUCUUUGGAGAAACACGGACAUGUUUUCAUUCUUACCCUCACGAGCAAUAGCGAGCACUAUCUCGGCCACGUACGGCUUCAUCGCCUCCGUUCGUUCCGCUCUCGUCUGCACUCACUUUGAAUUCUUCUCUUCCGGCACCGGCAUCGAAGAGGAGGCGGCGCCGCCGUUGUUACCAUUGCAAAGACCGCAGAGGUGACGGAGUAGAGUCGGAGUGAAAAAAAGAACGUAAAAGAAAGAAGUGGAGGAAGAGAAGGCGAGCAGCCCUGUUGCCGUCGAGAAAGGUGGCGGAGGUGGUGGAGGAGGGUCGGAGAGAAAAGAAAAAAACGAAAAAAGAAGAGAGACAAAAGAGAAUAAGGGUAUUUUGGUUAGUGUUCUGAAAAUUCAGCCCGAAUUUGCAAAAUUGAAAAACAUGGCCCNAAAUUUUGAUAGAAAAUUCUUUAUACCAUAUAAAACAAGAUCAAUAACUUUGAUCUAAAAUUUUAGUGUCAUAUCAUCAUAUUUUGUAAGAUUUUUAUUUUCAGCCGUUGAUUUUAAGCCACUUUGAUCACUAGGCAAAUGAUAUCAAAAAUUGCAAAAUUUAUUUUCUAGAUAUUUCAAAUACUCUAGAUCAAGUAUAACGGAGCCGAUCGUCGAUUCGAAAGUCCGAACAUCGAAAACAAAGUGAAAGCACGGAGCCCGGGCUCCCAUAAGCAUCCUAAUCGCACUAUAUAUAUAUAUAUAUAUAUAUAUAUAUAUAUAUAUAUAAUACUAUUAAUAGUACCAAUCACUUGCUAUUAGGUUUUCGGCCUUUGGAUGAAGAGAUGUGCGGCUAGAAUGAUAGUGAUCCCCUAGGGUUGAGUGAGUGGUUUGUUAAAUAAUAUAAUCUAACGGCACAAAAUUCGAUAACACCAAAUAUUUAGUAUAUCGAAAAUAUAGUAGCCGGACUCUCUCUCUCUCUCUCUAUAUAUAUAUAGUUCGGCUACCAUACUAUACAUACUAUCCAUAGUACUAAGCGCUUUGUACUAUUGAGUUUUCUGCCGUUAGAUCUACCUAUAUAUAUAGAGUCCGGCUAUUAUACUAUUGAUAGUACCAAACAUUUAAUGCUAUCAAGUUUUCUACUGUUAGAUCUAUCCCUUUGGCCAUUUUCAUUCGUUAGAUCAUUCUAUUCAACUAGUCACCCACUCAACCCUAGAGGGCUACCAUCAUCCUGACCGCACAUCCCUUCAUCCAAGGGCCAAAACCCUAAUAACAAGCAGUUUGUACUAUUAAUAGUAUAGUAACCCAAUUCUAUAUAUAUAGGCUCGGCUACCAUACUCUUAUAAAUAUAGACUCUUUUGUACUUAUAAAUUUUCAGCCGUUGAUGUGCGAUUAGAAUGAUAGUGGUCCCCUAAGAUUGAGUGGGUGGUUCGUUGAAUAGUAAGAUUUAAUAGAUGGAAAUGGAGAAAAGAAUAGAUCUAACUUAUGAGUAUAAAGAAGUUUAUACUCAUAAAAAUAUAUAUAGUAGCCAAACACUCUCUCUCUCUCUCCCUAUAUAUAUAUAUAUAUAUAUAUAAUAUAUAUUUUAAUUAUAUAAAAUAAUAUAUAUUAUAUUUUAAAAAUAUAUAUAUAUAUAAUUUAGAUUAUUGCGCCCACAAAAACAAACCAGUAAAAUUCUACUCUAAUUGCUCUCUUUCUCUCUUUUUCACUUCCUCACAGAGACGCUUUUUCUAAUUUUUUUAGUAUUAUAAUAUCGUAUUUCAUGUCUUCAUUUUGUAUGUUAAACUAUUAGAUAUUUUUUAUAUCAAAUUUUAACUAAUGUUUUAUAAAAAUUAAAUUAUAGAUUGCACGAUGUUAAGAAUUUCAAACAGCUCGUUUAGGGCUCGAGCUCGCUCGACUCGAAGUUAGGCUCGCUCAAGCUCGGCUCGAAUUAAUUUCAAACCAAGCUUGAGCCUAAAUUUAAGCUCGAAAUUAAUUUCAAGCCAAGCUUGAGCUGAGGUAAGCUCGCUCGAGCUCGGCUCGUGUCCCCCCUAAUAAUAGAUUGCAUUACGGGUCGGAUUGGUGGAACCAGUCGGUCUGAUUCGAUUUUUAAAUUAUUAAUUUUAUUUAAUAUUAGAACGAAAAAAAUAGAAAAAAUUAAUUCUUUAUACCUUUAAUGACUAUUUUUAAUUUUUAGUGGGAAAACUUCAAAAACCCCUCCUGUGGUUUCGCACUUUCUCACUUUAGUACCCUGUGGUUUAAAAUGUAUCAAUUUGUCCCCCUGUGGUUUUGUUUUUAUCUUUACUAUAGCUUUUUUCUUAAUAUUUCGUUAAAUUAUAUACAAAAAACUUCAGAUACCCAUCUAGAUUUACCGAAUAUUUACUUUAAUACCCUUUAAUUUUAGUUUUGUCACUAAUUUAAGAAAAAAAAAUAAAAUUGAUAAAAAAAAGAGAAAAACAAAACCACAGGAGAGCAAAUUGAUACACUUUAAACCACAUAGUACUAAAGUGAGAAAGUGCGAAACCACAGGGGGUUUUUUUUGAAGUUAUUCCUAAAUUAAAUGAACACUAAUAUUCACGUACUAUUAGAAAGUUUUGUAUUUGCUUUUUGUUUCGAAUAUAUAAAAACACGUAAAACUGAUCUCAAUUAUUGCCCAUUUGAAUUUAGCUAUCUAAGUUCUAAAAUUUUCGAUUUUAUCAUCUGAUUUUUUUUAUUUAUUUGAUUUGAGCCAAUUGGUGACUCUUCAAUUUUAAAAUUUAAAUACGGUCGUUUAUCUCUACGGAUUUAAUUAGUAUAUUUUACAUAAUUAAAGUAACUGUAACUUAUAUAAAAGCAAGCACAUUAGUUUAAAUUCUAUAUCCGGUGAGCCGUCAAAUUAAUUAAAUUAAAUAAAUUAAAAGAUUAUGUAUUAAAAUCAAAAUUUCGAAAAGUUGAGUAGCCGAAUCAAAAUGCUUAAUAGUUUACCAUUCGAAUAUAUCCUUAUGUUUUCAGCUAAGUUCAUUUUCGUAUGAUUCAUUUCUUAAAAACAGAAGCAAAACAGCUAGCACACUACUUUUCUCUCAAAAAUAUUUCUUUCUAGUCCUUAGGUUAGUUCCAAACUUUGACAAACUUUCAGGCUAAAAUAGUAUGAAUAUGAGACCAAUUGACCAAUGGGCAAAUGAUACUGCAAAAUCAUAAAUUUCGAUUUAUAUAAGAUUCAAAUAGUAUUAAUUAUAUUUUAGUGCCGAUCGUUCAAUUUCGGUGUGUUCUGCCUAAACUAAUAGAGUAAGUAAACAAUCUCAUUUAAUUCUAAAAGCAUUUUAACUCGUAUUUGAAUCAGGCCAACUGGAUCUUGCCGUACAAAAAAAAUGUAAGGGUGACAUCGAAGACAGCAUAACAUGAUUGAGAACAUGACAAAAGGAAAUAUUAUUUGCUUUACAUGUGGCCUUUGUGUGUGAGUUGUGUGUGGGGGUGUUGCCACUUGCCAGUCAAAUUGGAUUUAGAUUAGGUAAAGCACAACCCUAAACUGAUCCUGUUUGGCAACCUAACUUUCCAAUUAAGCGUGGUCAAAGGUAACCAAUUUUAUCCUUCUAGAAUGUCCUGCUUAAGGCUUACAUUUGUGGCUCCAAAAGAUCUGAAUAUUACAAAUUUAAAUUUGGGCAAAAAUAUAGCCUUAAUUACACUCUGCUAUACUUGUGUUUUUCCCCCCCCUCAAAAACACCAUUAUAUUAUUACUACUAUUAUUAUUAUUAUUAUUAUUCAAAUCCACUAUUAAUUGUACUAGUGUAGGCCCCCGCUUCGCGGCGGGAAAUUUAUACAAUUUAUUUAAAAUUAAAAAUUUUUAACACCUAUUUGUUUAAAUCCUAAAAUUUGAAAUUAACAUUUUGAACAUUUAAAUUUUAAAAAUGCAUUUUAUCUUAAUUCAAUUUGUAUAUUUUGAAUAUAUUAUUUUAGUUAGAGUUUUGUUGAUUCCUAAUCUUUCCAAUUCUAAACUUUUAUAUGCAUCGAAUAACUCGCUGUAAUUUUAAAUUUUGAGGAAUUCAGUAAGGUAAUUUGACAUUCCAUGAUAUAUUUAGUAAAUUAAUAUAUAUAAUUUUUAAAAUUUUAAAUUUUAUAAUUUGAAUAUAAAAUUUAAAAUCUACAAUUCAGAAACUAAAAUGUAAAAUUUAAAACAGGAAAAUUUUAAAAUUUAGUUUUAGUAAUUAAGGAAAAAUAUACAAUUUUAAAUUUUAAGUUUUAAAUUUUAAAUUUCAAAAUCUAAUAUUUUAAAUAUUAAAUUAUAAAUUAAAUUAAAAAAAUUCAAUUGUUAAAUUUUAAAUGGUGAAAUUUCAAUUUCAAAUGUUAAAAUUUAAAAUUUAAGCUUCGACAUUUUAUAGUAACCGCAAUUUUGCAAAAGGUAGAACUAAAAAUCCAUCAAAAACUAAUAGUAAGAACGAAACAUCAAUAGUUGCAUAACAACAAUAUGAUAUAUAUAUCAGAAGUACUUGAUUCAGUGAUACCUUGUAAUAUGAAAUUAACCAGCGAAUCGAUCUACAUGAAGAAGUCCUAAUUUAUAUCAUAAAACUUGAAUAGAACUAUAAUAAGAAUUGUUUUAGAUAUUUGUACAUAAUUUAGAUGGAUUACAAGCAUUUACUUACAGAUUCACCACUUGCAUUCAUAAAAGUUUGAGGUUUGACAAGCAUGACGGGAGAAUCACCAAAACGGCCUGCAUAAAAAUCGCAAAAAUUUUAAAUGUAUUUUUCCAAAAAAAUUAAAAUGUAAAAUUGAGUGGACAAUUCAAAUAUAAAACUAAAUUUUGAUUUGAUUCAAAUUUAAACUUAUAAUCAAUUUAAAAUUUUAAUUUAUAUAUCAAAUUUAGAAUGCUUGAUUGAAUUUAUAUUUUAAUUCAAUUUCUAAUUCAAAAUCUAUAAUUACAAAUUAAAUAUCUAAAUUUAAAUACCUUAAAUUAAAGUCAAAAUUAAAUUAAAAUUAAAAAAAACUCUAAAAUCCUCUUCUCUAUAUGUAAAGAGAAGAUGUAUUUCUUUCUAUCUAGUAUUAUUUUUCUCUCACAGUAUUAUUAAACUGUUUUUUUUGGUUGCCAACCUCUACAUUACUAUUAAUAAAUCUAUUAUUUCUGAUAAAUAUAAACCUUUAUUAAGAGAUACUGCAUAAAUAGUAGAAAAAUAAAAAAUAAAUUUUCAUGAUAAACUUAUUGAAGUUUCUAACAAGUUAUUUUUAAUUUUUUUGAAAUGAGUAGAAUAUAUGCUCUGCCAUUUUUAACUAAACUUUUUAACAAUUUUUAUAUAAAAUUAUGGUUUUGUUGCUAUAAUGUAGGGAUUGAAAAAAAAAAUAGUAAGUGGUGUCUUUUUUGAGGGAGAAAAAAAAAAAGUACACUACAAAGUAAACAGACUAUCUAUAACUAUAUAUUAUUCCUCAAUAACUGCACACGUGUCGGGAGUUAAGGCCGCGGGCGCGGGCGCGGGGCGCGGGCGACCGCGGGCGCUAGCGUGUCAUGCCCCGGGGUCCCUUUUAGUUUGAAACACAGCGGAAAAGCAUCUAAAUUUUAUUUUAAAAACCUGACCCCAGGGUAUGCCAGAUCCGCCACGAAUACAGAAAAUUCACUGUUCACACGGGCACAGUCUCCCCUGUAUUUGCACGGCGUCGUACAAGUACAACAGUACAAACAGGAUACAACCACAACUAAAUGAAUAUAGAGAUAACUAUACAUUCAUACAUUCACCAUUCACAUCACAGAUUUACAUUCAAUGUCUAACAUAAAUCCACAAAAAGCCUUUUGAAAUCUGUUCCCUUCACGGAAAUUUUUAUUUUUUAAAAACGCCACCACGAGGGGUAGAAAACCUUUUGUUUACGAAAACCAUGAAUCUUUUUUAUUACUUUUACAAAGCCAAAUCCAAAUAUAAUAAUUAACUGAAAUACCAAAAACUGAACAAUGAUAUGUCUAAGUUAUACCAACAGAAAUAAAAAGGAUGACGACUAAACCGAACAAACCGGGUCGGAAGCUCUAACGACCGCUACGAACGUGUCUCACAUCUCGUCUCACCCUCACCGCCCGCAAUACCUAAAAAAU